AAAAGACAUGAAUCAAGAAUUUCUGGGACAAGAAAAAAAAUACCCCCCAUUCAGCUUUUAAGGCACAUGCAGAUAAUUCUUGGUGAUCUGAUUCUGGAGUUGUCCUUUCUCCUAAGCCCUCUUUGCAUGGUCAGAAUGGGGAUAUCUAUGAAUGAGAUUUGAAUGUGGUUCACAUUGGGUGUACCACUUGAAUGAAUUGGCGUGUGUGUAUUUGCUGAGGUAGAUUCAGCAGCUUUGUUUAGGAAGAGAAACCCAAGAGAGCAGUGUGAAAAUAUUUCUUGUGUCCCUAUGAGACACCAAGUGCUUUCCUUUAUCAGUGUGUUCUCAAAGCAAUCCACAGAGGCAUAGAAAUGUGUGUAGUUAUGUGGCUCAAAUGUGGGUUUGAACCCUGGUCUUAGCCACUGCUUUGCCCCAGAGGUGUAGGCCGUAGAGGGAAACCAAUGGUUUUGCUCUCCAGGCCCCACUGCUCCAAGGGCAAACCUAGUCCAGAAGACUCUACCUUCAGUAACCUUUCCGUUUCCUCCUGUCCAGUGCUGGCCCAGUGCUCCUACCCCGAUCCAGGAGCUUACCUAAGGGCUCUGGAGUAAGACCAUGCUAAGGGGAUUCAGUCAUUUUGAUUUUAUUACUUCAUUCCAUUCAUCUUAUUCCUUCAUUAGUACUCUUUUCCAUUCAUCAAGGUGAUGAUAGCCCUUCUGAAUUAAACAUGGUUUCUCUUAGGAGAGAGCUCAAAGGAAUCAUGGAAAUCAGACAAAGUGACACAGUAGCUACUGGCAGAAGGAAGCCCACUAUAGGCAUUGGCAGGUGAUCCCAGCAUCACAGCAGAGCCAUGUGGAGGCAGAUUGCUGUGCACAGAAGUUAUGGGAUCCUACUGGGCUGAAGUUCUGCCCUGGUGGCUCAGGGUGGAGGUUGGGGUGGCCCCAGUAGCAUUUAAAGAGCAGACAGGACUCCUCUAGAGAGAAAGAGGCUGAUGUGAAGAUGGCCCCUCUAUGUGAGCUGGAAGGCCACAAGGUUUGAGAGAUGUCAUUGUAUAAAGCCUUUGUCCAGAUGGUGUCCAAUAAGAUGUCUGUCCUCUGAUCUGGACAGAAGUCCCAAGUUUCUUGAGCUUUCCAGUUGAGUUCAACAAUCUGUUACAUGCAAGGUUCCAUGCUAGGUACCAGCUGCAUUGGCUUCAAGAUUCCUUGGUGUUUAUAGGUCAGCUUCUAUAUCCAGCUGCAGGAUCCUCCAUCUCCUUGCAGCCACUGAGAAUCUGACAGGGGCGGUGUAGUGCUUGGCCACGUGGUGCUUGCACACCUAGGGCUCUAUUUCUGUUGCUCCCCUGACAGUGCUCUCACCAUGGUGACUCACGGUGUCUGUUCACCAUAGCUGCUGGGAUAGUGUAGUUCUGUCUUCCUUUUAGCUUCCCAGCAGCAGCUACACUGUGACCACGGACUCCCUGAGUUAUCUUUCAAUUUUAUUGCCUAACACAUCCUGGACUUCCCUACUAUUCAAACUCUCUCAAGUAGCCCUUUUUAAAAGAAUUGUUUUAAAUUUUAUUUAAAGGAAGAAAGGGAGGGAGGAAAGGAGGAAGAGAGACAUGUAGCUUUUCUUUACUAGUUCAUACCCCAAAUGCCCACAACAGCCAGAGCUGUGAGAGAGAGAGAGAGAAAGAGAUUGAUUGAUUCAGAGAGAGAGAUAGAUCUGCUCUCUACUAGUUCACACACCAGAUGCCUGCAACAGCCAGGACUGAGCCAGGCCAAAGCAGGAGCUGGGAACUCAACCUGGGUCUCCCAUGUGAAUAGCAGGGACCCAAAUACUAGAGCCACUACCUGCUGUCUUCCAGGGUGUGUAUUAGCAGGAAACUGGAAUUGGGAGUGGAGCCAGGAUGUGACCCCAGGCACUCUAGUACUGGAUGUGGGUGUCCCAAGUGUUGUCUUAACCGCUGUGUCAAAUCAAAUGCUCACCCAUCUUAAAUAACCUUCUAACAAUUUCUUUCUCAUCCCUUUUUAUUUGACUGCUUUAUUUCUAGUUUUCAUAUUCUUUGAGUCAUGAUCCAAAUGAAGUCCAUCUAUUACAGUUAUUUCAUAUGUCUCUUAAAUCUCUCUUAAUCAAUAGAUUGGAAGGUAUUUUCUGUAAAUGGCUGGAUAAUUAAUAUUUCUGUCUUUGAAGGCCAGAUACUCUGUCACAACUACUCAAGUCUGACAUUUUACCAUGAAAGCAGCUAUAGAUAAUAGAUACAUGAAUUGACAUGGCUGUGCGCCAGUGAAGCCUCAUUUACAGAAAUGGUAUGGUGGCUGGAUGUGGCUCAUUGACCAUGGUUUGUUGACCCCUGUUUUAAUCUAUACAUGCUCUAUUUCUUCUAUUUCCCCUGUGCAGUUGCUUGUUGAAGACAUUGUGUCAUUUAUUGCAUGGAGUUUUCCACAGCCUGGAUCCUACUGAUCGCAGGACCCUCUGUGCUCUGCAUUUGCUGUUAUGCUCAUGACUCCUGGGGCCACAGCUAGUGCAGGAGUUUUGCGGUAUUGAUGAUACAGGAGACACAUGCCUUUUAAGAAAGGAGGAAGAACUUCAGUUGUACACCGUUUUCCGAGCAGAGUUAGACAGUGAGAGACAGAGAACAGUCUGCCUUCCAUUGGUUCACUUCCCAAAUGGCCACCACAGCUGGCGUGCUGUGCUGAUACGAAGCCAGGAGCCAGGUGCUUCCUCCUGGUCUCCCAUGUGGGUGCAGGGCGCAAGCACUUGGGCCAUCCUCCACUGCACUCCCGGGCCAUAGCAGAGAGCUGGACUGGAAGAGGAACAACUGGGACAGAAUCCGGCACCCCAACAGGGACAAGAACAUGGAGAACUGGUGCUACAGGCGGAGGAUUAGCCUAUGUGGGGAAUGGAUGAAGAGUUUGAACAGCCUGAGUUUGAAAUACUGGAUCUAGGAUUCCUUACAGAGUGUGUGACUGGCCAGAGGUCCUGACACCUUUAAGACUCAAGUGGAAACACAGCAUCUACUAUCUAUGGAAGGUUUCUUGUGAAGAUGAAAUAAUACUGGUUAUGACACAGGAACAUGUGAGGUCCUAAUAUUACAUUCGUUAGACAUGUGUCAUUUCUUUCAGGUAAGUCUUGUUAAAUUUAUAUUAGGCCAUGCUAUUUGUUGCAUAAUAUCAAAAUAACUUUAUUCUUAAUAGCACCAGUUUGUGAGUAUUGAUAUAAAAGCUUUUUCUUUUGUAAAGAUUACUUUUGUAACCUAAAAUGAUCCUUAAUUGUCGUCAUACAUUUUAACAUGCUAUUUUUAAUUUUUAUCUCUUUUUUAAAUUAAAAAAAUGUUAAGGUAAACACAUUUCAUGUAUUUCAUGGAUACAGAUUUAGGAACACAGUGGUACUUCCCACGCAUGCUCCCACCCUUCUUCCUCCUUCUUUUCUUAUUUCCUCUCUUAAUUUUUAUAAUGAUAUAUUUUUGAUAAGUGAAUAGUUCAACAAAAAUACGAAUUACACAAACGCUGUUCCUCAACAGUAGAGACAAGGGAUGUAAACAAUUAUCGAAUCUUAAAAUGUCAGUUUCACUGCUACACAUUACAUUUUUGGUACACAAAUGUACACAGAUCUGGUAAAAUACGAUAUUUGUCCUUUUGGGACUGGCUUAUUUCACUAAGUAUAAUGGUUUCCAGUUGCAUCCACUUUGUUACAAAAGGCAGGAUAUCAUCCUUUUUAUGGCUGAGUAGUAUUUCCUAGUGUAUAUGUACAACAGUUUCUUUAUCCAGUCAUCAGUUGAUAGACAUCUCGAUUAAUUCCUAGUAAGCAUUCAUACUUGCAAAUCAUGAUAAUUUGGGUCAUUUUAGCUUCUAAUUAUACAUUUUUCCCCUUUGAGGCAUAGCUAGAGGUUCUAGGACAAAAAAACAUUCUGGUGAUGUUAGGGUUCCUUUUUCCUUCUUGAUUUAUUAGCAUGCUUCAAAAUAUGAACAAUAUUUUCUAUGGAUUCUGAUUUUCUUCAAUGACAUUUACCUUUUACUUUCCCAGAAUCUACUAAGAGAUUCAUGCAUUUUUCUUCCUCUUAUGUGAUGAGUUAAAUAAUGUAUAUUUCUAUUAAAUUAUUGUUGAAUUUCCAGAUAAAGUCUUUAUUAUUUUUUGACUCUGUUUUAUAUUAUGCCACAGGAUUCAAUUUUAUCAGACUUGGUUUAUGAUGUUACAAUUUACAGCCAUUUCAGCAUUUUACUCCUCCUCUUCUUUCUCCUCCUCCUCAUGCAUGAAUAAGCAUGAUCAGACAUAAGCUGAAUGCAUAAAAUAUCUUAAAAUGUACUUACAUAAUUUUUACCUUUAACAUUAUUCUUAAGGUAUGUGUCAUUACUUUACUUCAGGAAAAUGAUUUAGAACAGUUAAGUGUCCGAGUCAUAAAAUAUUUCUUUGCAAUAGAGCAAGAAUUUUAAUGUAGUUCCAAUUAAUUUCUAAGCCUCUGAUUUUAAUCAUUUCAUGUAUCCUUUAUUUUUAGUGGAAAGAUCGGUACAUAGAUUAUUUCUGAGAGUUCUCUUUGUCAAAUUUUAUUUUCAGGGGUUGGGCUCAUCUAGUAAAACAAGUUGAAAUGCUUUCAGUCUUUUGAAAUGUUAUUAAAUAUUUUAAAUAUUAAAUUAAAAAUUUCCCCUCUAUCUGAAAAUAUGUUUAUUGUUCCAGAAGAGUGUAUUUUCAUUUUUCCUGUAUCAAACUUGCUUGAUUUUACUGACUUUGUAAAAGAAAAAGUACUCUAUAUAUCAGUUAUGAUGUUUUUCUCAGUUUGAUUUGGUUUAAGAAUUAUGUCUUAGCUUCUUGGAUUAAAUACCCAUUUCAUUAACUCUCUAAAAUGAUCAUGAGACCAAACAAAGCUCGUGUUUUUAUCCUUCUUCCAAUGUCCUACUGAAAAGACCCUACUCUUGUAAUAGGGAUAAAUGCACACAGUCAAUAAAGCACAAAAUAUGUAAGAAAUUCAGUGAUCAAGGGAGCAUGUGACAGUAGGGAAGGGUUGGUGAGUAGGAAGGAAAGCCCUCUAGGAGUUUAGGGGAAGGAUUCUACCCUACCUCACACACAUGAACAUGGACUACAGAGCAAAUCCAUUAAACCAUGACAUAAAUGUUCUCACGUGUGUCUCUUAGUACCACAAGAUCUUUGACAAUUCAUUUGUCCAGCGAACAGUAUAAACAAUGAGAAAAGUGAACUCAAGAAAACAGAAAUUGAAAAAAAUACAUUAGUAAAUUUUAAAGAUUAAAAAUAUUUGAGAACAACAACAAAAAUCCCACUGAUAAAACAAUGAUCACUAAACUAAAUUAAAAUUUCAGCAGAAGUAGUGGGUAUUACAUAACCAAACCAAACAAGAAACAACACACAAAGGAUAGAACUACAUAUCUAGCCUAAUGUUUUGUUACUCCUAUGCCAAAUAUCCUCAUUCCUCUCCCCACAGGCCCUCUGCAGAUUACUUAUGUAACUUGAUAAUACUUUGCCUGUCUGACGAAUGCCUCUCUGUCACAGACAGGCACUUGAUGUACUUUGGUCAGCAAAAAGUGAGUGAGUGGACUUAAUGAGUAUGAUGCUGAACCGGGACUUUGACCACCUGUUGGGCCCCACUCUCUUCUCUUCGCUUCUCUCUGAAGACAGCCAUGGAAAACCAUAUGGGGCUGCUCAUUCAGCCCAGGGCCUAUCUACAAGUAACCUGGGGCAGCUGAUGCCCACAUAGCACAAGGGAAAUAGAAUCCUUUCUUAUUAGAAGCACUGAAAUGUCAGGAUUGUUUGUUAUCACAAUGUUUGGUAGUCAGCUGGCUGAUUCCACAAGCUUGAGUAAUUAUCCCAAAUUCGGGGGGGAAGCAUAAGAAUGAGUGAAUAUGAAUUUUAAAGAUAAAACUUGAAAGACAGGUGGGAUAAGAAUCCAGAACACAUGGGGAAGGAGUUCAAAAGCAUUUUGUGAUUAAAUUGGAAGCACAAGAAGGGCAUGAGUCGAUCAGGGAAUGAUUACAUUCUAUAGAACAGUAAAUAUUUCUGUUGUGAAAUGUGUCACUAUUGUUCCCUUAUUUUUUAUUCAAUGCAACUUUGCAGAUUUCUUCUUUCAAUUCCAGGACAUUUUUCCUGAUUACCUCUGAUCCUCAAGUGUGUAGAACAAUGAGUGAUACCAAGUUAGUUCUUUUUGAAGCAUCUAAAGGAAAAUGACUAUUUUUCAUGAUAAUUCAUCUUCUUUCUGUCUUAUUGGUCCCUUGUUCCUGGCAGAAAACCAAAGGCCCCUGCUCUGUCCUGAAUGUGCACACCCCCUACACACAAGUUCCCCUCAUGGUUCCCAUGUUGGAAGUUAAUUGCCGAUGUUGUAGUGUGAAGAGGUGGGCCCUUAGGGUGUGGUUAAGUCCUGACAGUGAGGCCCUCACAGAUGAUGGACUGCCGGGGUGGAGGGAGUGGGUGCUGCCUUUCCCUCCGCUGAGGGCACAGCAGUGAGGCAUCAUCCUGCAAGCCCGCGGCAGCCCUCACUGGACACACCAAACCUGUGCUGCCCUCACAGGUGCUCCCCACGCUCCAGCACUGGGAGGAGUGAAUUUCUAUCUUUUGUGAAUCACCUACCCUCAGGCAUUUUGUUAGACCAUUGCAAGCAGACGAAGCUGUUUUAUCCUUGGUUUUCUGAGUUGGAAGGGGUACGGGAAGAUAGCUUCAGAGCCUUCACUUUCUCCAGAGAAACAAGCAGGUUCUCUCUCUCUUUUUUUUUUUUUUUUUUUUGACAGGCAGAGUUAGACAGUGAGAGAGAGAGAGAGAGACAGAGAGAAAGGUCUUCCCUUUGCUGUUGGUUCACCCUUCAAUGGCCGGCGCAACUGGCGCGCUGCGUCCAGUGCACCACUGCUGAUCUGAAAGCCAGGAGCCAGCUGCUUCUGGUUUCCCAUGGGAUGCAGGGCCCAAACACUUGGGCCAUCCUCCACUGCACUCUCGGGCCACAGCAGAGAGCUGGCCUGGAAGAGGGGCAACUGGGACAGAAUCCAGUGCCCCGACUUGGACUAGAACCUGGUGUGUCAGUGCCGCAAGGCAGAGGAUUAGCCUAUUGAGCCACGUCACCGGAUGAAACAGGCAGGCUCUUCUUCACUCCCUGCUGCCUAGGCUGGAAAAGGGAAAGCUCAUCCAGUGAACUGUGGUUGAGAAAUCAGUUCUUUUGCUUUCUGUAGAUCUGUUGUAAUACAUAUUUAAAAACUAGUUAUUUAAAAGUAAAAUCCAAGGCAUACUGGAGUUCUUGUUUCUCUUAUUUCAAAGUGUAGCAUGGUCUGUGCUGUGGUGUAGCAGCACCUCCUGCAGUGCCAGCAUCCCACAUGGGUACCAGUUUGAGUCCUGGCUGCUCCACUUCCAAUUGAUUUCCCUGUUAACAUGCCUGGGAAAGCAGCAAAAGAUGCCCCAAGUGCUUGGACCCCUGCCACCCACGUGGGAGACCUGGAUGAAGCUCCUGGGUCCUGGCUUCCAACUGCCCCAGCUCCGGCCUUUGCGGCCAUUUGGGGAAUGAACAAGUGGAUGGAAGACCCCCCUCUCUCUGUCUCUCUGUCUAACUCUGCCCUUCAAGUAAAUAAAUAAAUCUUAAAAAAAAGACAAUGCAUCAUACACCAUCAUCUCUCAGUUGAUAAGGAAAAAAAGAGCACUUGAGUUUUAAGAUAAAAACACAUUUUCUCCUAAGUAGCAAACAUAUGAGGGCACUUCAAAAACUUCAUGCAGGGGCCCGCACUGUGGUGUAUUGGGCUAAGCCUCUGCCUGCUGUGCCAGCAUUCCAUAUGGGUGCCCAUUCAUGUCCCAGCUGUUCCUCUUCUGAUACAGCUCUCUGCUGAUAGCCUGGGAAAGCAGUGGAAGACAGCCUAAAUGCUUGAGUGAUCAGAAAUCUGUGAGUGAUCAGAGCCUAUCACUCCAGGCCUCUGCCUCACAGGCAACAGUUGAUGAUUUGGGGAGAGAGAGCUGCAACAGUGAAAUGACAGUGAAAUUGCAGACAACACAGCAAUGCCUGGUCAGCCAUCCCCCAAAUACCUGUAGGAUGAACACAGAUGACCUCGAGGUAAUAACCCACAUGAGGUCAUCCCAUCCGCACUCAGUGAGAAUCCCCAUGUUUGCGGCAGUCCUCAGGCACCCCAGGCUCUCAGGGCAGCCACUAGACCCCAUCCCACCUGCAUGUUUGCUGUUAAUUUAGGAGCAGAUGCAGAAUUCAGACCCUGGAUUCCAACACCUGUAGAAAGUCUUCUGCUAACCAAGGGCCGAGGAUAUGCUUGUGUCUUUCCAGAAAAUGCGGGACAGCCAAUUUGGGUCCCAGCCAGAAACAUCAAGCCUGCAACUGACAGUCAACCAGAACCAGCUGAACAAGACUGAGAGCCCGCCUUGUUAGCGGACGCACCUCCCCAAUCAUCCUACCCUGAGGAACUGCCCAUAGCCACAUCCAUUACUGCUUUGUACCCCACUAGCUCUGGUCAGCCACUCAAAUGGCCCACAGCCUGCAUGUGGUCAUGCCAUUCCUGAUUACCACUGUUCCUCAUUCCUACCCCUUCUGAGCAAGCACUCCUGUGGUCUCCCAUUUUGAGUGCUGGUUAGUCAACGACGGGUAAGAUCCCCUGGGGGACAACCUAAGACAGGCACAGCUGCGUAUGGAGACCACAUGGAAACGGGGUCAACAAUGGCAUGGCCAAGAAUCAUGCCUCCCGUUGCUCAAAAAUAAACGAAAAGGGGGAAAUGUAGUGCAAUGAGAAGGUGAGAAGGUCAUGCCAAGAUGGCCGCUGGCAAGUGAGUGUCAGUUACUCAGGAAUGGCUUUGAAAUCCACCUGGCAAGGGAGCCUGCCUGGUAACAGGCUGUGAUUGGAUGGCUUUGGAAACCACAUGGCAACAGAGCCUGCCUGGCAACAAGCUGUGAUUGGAUGGUUUCAGAUACUGCCUGGCAACAGGUUGUGAUUGGUUAGGGCAUAAACCACCCCUUGACUGGAUUGGCUGGCUUGGCUAUUUAAGCUGCUGUACCAACUGAAAUAAAUGAGUCUGCGGGCUGCUCACCUCUGGCCUGCUUUCACCCAACUCCGGGGGUCUGUGUGGUGACUCCAUAUCUCUUGCCCCCACCACACUCCUCCUCUCAGAAGGAAUCCAUAGCAACACCUUCCUACUGUUUACAUGUCUCAGUUGGACAUCGCUGUGCUUGAAAUCAGACUCCUCCUUGAUAAGAUGUUAAAUAGAAGAAUCUAUGAGAAGAAAACUGGGAAGAAAUUUGGGGAAAUAUCUAGCAAGCUAAUGCUCUGGUUUUAUUUUACUUUGUAAGAUUUAUUUUCUUUAUUUGAAAGAGUGCAAUGGAGAUCGGGAGAGCCAGAGAAAGAGAUCUUCCAUCCACCGAUUCACUCCCUAAAUGGCUACAAUGGCAGGGGCUAUACCAGGCCAGAGCCAGGAACCCAGAAACAGAGCUUCAUCUGGGUCUGACAUCACAGCAGGUACCCAAACACUUGGGCCAUCUUCUACUGCCUUCCCAGGGGCAUUAGUCGGAUGCUGGAUUGGAAGUGGAGCAGCUGGGUCAUGAACUGGCACUCUGAUAUGGGAUGCCCAUGUCGCAAGUGGUGGCUUAUCCCAUUAUACCAUAAUGCCAGCCCUCAACUAAUGCUCUGUUAAGGGCAAGGUUUUCCUUUCUGAAAAUAAAUUGAACUUUGAUUUGAUGUAGGAUAUAUGAUAUUGAAAUCUGAGGAAUGGUCUCCAAAGAUGAUCAGGCCCUAAUAGUUGGAACCUGUGAAGGCAGUCUUACAUGGAAGAGGGAAAUUCACACAUGUGAUUGAAUUAAGGGUCUGGUGUUGGGCAGAUUGUCCUGAAUGUUCCUGGUGGGUCUUUGGAAGAGAAAGGUGGAAGGAAACUCUACAAUAGAUGAGGAGAAAACAAUGCCAUGCUAGAAGCAGAGAUUGGAGUGGUGCAUUUUGAAGGUGGAAGUUAGGGCCCAAACCAAGAAAUAUAUGUGACCCUUAGGAGGAGCAGCAAAAGGCAUUAGGGAGCGUGUAGCCUCACCAGCACCUUGACUUCAAUCCAGUGAGACUCAGUUCAGACUUCUGGUCUCUAGAAUUGUAAGAUAAUACAUUGCUGCUGCAUUAAGCUACCAAAUAUAUGCUGAUUUCUUACAGCAGCCUUAGGAAGCUAAUACUGAUAGUACCUGGAAAAAUUGUUGUAGUUUCUGAAUUGCCCUACAUAUUGGAAGACUCUGCUCUGAAAAAAAAAAAUCCACAAAAUUUUGUUCAAUGUGCAACAUUUGGUUUAUUAGAUUUUUAUUUAUUUAUUUAUUUUUUUGAGAGGCACAUAGAAAAAGAGAAAUCUUCCAUCAGCUGGUUGACUCCCUAAAUGUCCACAAGGUGCUGGGCAAGAGUUAAAGUCAGGAGCCAAGAACUCAAUCCUGGUUCCCCAUGGGUGGCAGGAUACACAAUUAUUUAAGCCAUCACUACUGCUUCCCAGGGUCUCUAUUUAUAGGAAGCUGGAGUCAGGCGCUGGGGCCUGGGAAUCCACCACGGGUAUGUAAUUGGAACCCCAGGUAUGCUUACCCCUAGCCAAACACCCACCCCCAGUGAGUUUCUGUAGACCUAAAUGUGCCCUAGGCACUAUUCAUUUGUGGAAAUUAUUUGGAAUGAAGACUAGGAAUGAAACCUUUCAGUUUUUUAAGGAUUGAACUGUGGCCGCCUCGAGGUUGUUGAUGUUUUAACCUGGAGUGGCUGUGAAUGCAACCUUCUUUGUGGUGGGGUCUGGUUAGAUGAUAUAAUUAAGAUAAUGCCAGAGUGGGCUCUAAUCCAACUGGACUGGCAUCUUUAGAAAAGGGGGAUUUUUGGAUAUGGAGGCAGACACAUACAGGGGAGGAUGAGACAAAGACACAGGACGACACGGUCUGCAGAUGGGGAGCACCUGAGGCUGCCCGAGCUAGGAGAGGGGCAAAGAACAAGUUCCCCUCACAGCUCUCCAGGAACCAGCCCUGCAGACACCUUGCUCUCCACCUCUGAGCCUCCAGAGCUGGGAUAGUGCACAUUACACCCCUGAUGCUCCAGCCCGUGGUCUGUGGGACUUUGUUUGGGGAACCCUAGGAAAUGAGUACACAGCUAUCACCAAGGUUUUGGGCAUUGCUGCUUUUUUUUUUUUUUUUAAACAAAACUGUCCCAUGUGCUACUGCAUUCUCAUGCCCUCUCAUUCAUUACUCCUGUAGGCUACAGUCAAGCCUUCCCACUAGGAGUUGUUUAAAUCAGGUUUUGUUUUAUUUUUUUGAGUUUACAUUUAAAUUUUAAAUGAAUGAAUUUCUAGGUAGCUAAUUCUAUGUUUACAUUGGCAAGCUGCCUUACUAACAAAUCUGAAUAACUCUCUGUCCCUUGCUAUGCUUCUAUCUUUUAUUCUUUCUCAGCUACAAUCAUAAAGCCCACAUUUCAUGGAACAUGGCAUGGACAGGAUUGCUAAAUGGAUUGGGAUGGUCUUGAGUUUCCAGGACCCAAGGAGAGCAGAGUUCUGCAGAUAAUCUGGAGAUCAGGAAAGACUGGGUAGGGAGUGGGAAAGUUCUUCACCCCUACCCCCAGUUCCCAUUCAUCUGUAAAUGAGUCCAGAGUCCAGAACCAAAGUGUGCUUUUCCACUUUAAGUGGCUGAGGGCUCCUUGAGGGUUAAUGCUCUUUCUGUGCUUAAGCAUAACAAUGCAAACCAAAGAUUUCACUCCUUGGAGGUCUUGAAUAGAGCUGCUUGCAUAGUAGCUGAAGGGAUGCAGGGUUCCUGAUAGGGACUUCUCUCUGGGUUAUGCAUCUUGAGUCUGUUCACAUGCCCUUUUCUCAUCAGACACCUACCUUCUAGGGAACUGGGCAGGGCAAGAGAGUGGGUGUGAAAGCACAGUGCUCAGAUCUGUUUCCUCCCUGUGCAGUGUUGAAUGGAGUCGGGUCCCAGGACCACCAGUCAGGGCAAGGCUACCUGCAAGGGCUGGCUUUCCUUUAGUCCUAGGCUUGGAGAGUUUAUUUCUGACAUGGGAGCUGGUGAGAUGAUCAUGGAUGCAGUGGAGCUGAGCUAGCGUGUGAAGGAGAGGUGCGUCUUAAUUUGGUUUCUCUGACUUGGAGAAUUUGUAGAUCAGAAUAUUGUAAAGUUAUUGGCACCAGUUUUAGUCACACCUAUUGCUGAGAAGUGACAUUUGGGUAGAGUUUUGUAAGGUGUCCAGCACGUAACAAAUCUUCCCAGACAGACGAAUCAAUUAAUUCACAGGCUUUUAUUGGGGUUCUGCUCCCAGGCGAGGUUCCCCAGCCCCAACAGAGCAACAGAGCUGGGGGCUGGGGAAGUCACCUGUCAGAGAUUGGGAGAGCUCCUUUUAUAGAUUCAGGGCAUGGGGGUUAAAGGUUGAGGCAGGUCUGAUCCUCAUUGGUGGACCUUUAGGCACCAGCAGUGACCUUGACAAGGACUUUCUUCCCAGCAAGUACAGGUAGGAACUUUCCAUUCCUGGAAGUAUAGGACUUCCUUCCAUGCGGAUCCCAAAGCUACCAAGUUUCAAGACUAAUUUGAUGGGAAUUUAGAACAGAGAAAUAGUCACAUCAUCUUGCUAAUUCUACCACUGCUCAGAAGUCAGAAAAUCAUAAUAGCUAACCAUUCUCUAAGAGUUUACUGUGUGCAGAUCCUAUUCUAUGCAUUUUUUCCUGCAAUAAUUCAUUUAAUCCACAGAAGAACCUUUUAUGGUGAGAAAUAGAGUGGAAGGUUCGAGUAAUCACUGAGCCAGCACAUCAGAAGCAAACAUGUUUUAACAACUUGGCAAAUAGGAAAAUGAUGUUCACUUGGCUUUAAAUGCUGGGAACUGGUUUAGAAUAUGUUUAGAAUAUGCUGAGAAAGAAGCCUGCAGGCUCCCUAGAAGUUGCUUCAGGACCUGAAACACUGUUACAUGUUUCCCACACCUAGAACUCUGAGUGUGUGUGUGUGUGUGUGUGUGUGUGUGUGUUUGAAUCUAUUCAUGAUUAGUAUUAUAACAAGUUUGUUUUGCUGUUUAUGUUUUUUAUAUUGAACCUCUUUGUGUCAGUAGGAUGAUUGGUUGAUUGAUUAGUUCAUUAUUUGUUGAUUGAACACACCUGCUGUGUACCAGACCCUGGGUUAGGCACUGAGGACACACAGAGAACCAUGUUCUUGGCACUAAAAAUAUUUAUGAUCUAGCUCAAUUUUGACUGUGCCUGCUACAAUAUUCAGGCAAAAACCAACAUUUAAAUUACCCAGAAAAAAACUAAAAAGCAAAGGUGGGACUAAAGGGGAAACAGAAUCUUUUAGGUGAAGGGACUCCCUAAACCCCAGAAAUUAGGGGUAGGUUUUGCAUCCCAGUGGGUUAAGCCACCACUGGGGAUGCCCACAUCCUAUAUCAGAGUGCCAGUGGAAGUCCAGGCUACUACACCUCUAAUCUAGUUCCCUACUGAUCCUUGGGAAGCAGUAGAUUAUAGCCCAAGUAACAUGGGUCUCUGCCACCCAAGUGGGAGAUCUGGAUGGAAUUCCUGGCUCCUGGCUUCAGCCUGGCUUAGCACUGGCUGUUGUAGCCAUUUAAAGAGUGAACCAGCAGAUGGAAGAUCUCUCUCUCUCUCUCUCCACCCCCACCCUCUCUUUCUAGUAUUCUGCCUUUCAAACAAACAAAUACUACAAAACAAACCCAGAAUUCAGGACAAGGGUCUAACCUUGGUCUGUGCCAGUCUCAACUGUUCUUUCUUCUAUUUCCUUCUCCCUCUUCAGCAGAACAAAGAAGUGCCUAUAGCCCCCAGUUAGCCUGGCUGGAGGAAUCCCCUAAAAUCAUGCUGGGGGGAGCAGAGGCUGUGCCUGUCCGUUGGUCACAGACUUCAUCCUCAGCUGUAACCAUUUGUUUGCACGAAUGCAGUGGGGAGAUUUGUCUUUGUAUUUUAAUUUUUAAAAAGUAUUUUUGUCUCCGUCCUCCACUGAAAUAAAAAGGUCAACCAAGGAUCAUGAACAAAUCAUGCCUGGAGUGGUGGAGAGAAAGCAAAGGGAGAGGCAGUGCUUUGUCUGUGGAUCAGCCUGUUUAGGACAGAGCUAAAAAACAUUUUGUUUCAAGCCAAGUUUAGUGCAUUUGUCAAUAAAACCAGGCUUGGAAAGGGCAGAAAUCAGCCCUGCUUGUCACAAAGUCCCCCAUGGGUAAGAAUCCAUGCCUAGCAGAGGGGCUUGCAGAUGGCAGUGGUCUUCAUCCUAAUAAUAGUCCUGCUCUGGCCACCUGGAGCUGGGCCGCAGCAGACUCAGUGGUGAGGACUUAAAUACAAGGUAUGGCCCCAGGAUGCUGCAGUACGUGAGUGAGGAGUGCGCAGGGACAGGAGGGAGUUGAUGUAGGAUUCGUUGGUGAGCAGGCUGCUUUCACAGGCAAGUGGGGAAGUCAGAGUUUCCCAGAAAGUGCGUGGAAACUUUCACAUUAGUUUUCUUAGGGAUGUGGGGAGCUCACAGCUGGGCAGUGCCAGGAAUUUGUAGUUCAAUAGUUCAGUUCUCAGAGUGGUUGGGAACAUUGGUUAUGGUGAGAUCAGAAUCUUUGCAUACAGAUAUGCUAGCUGGAACCUUCAAACAUAGAGCAAGUGAACUUCACGAUGCAGCAGCCUCCCUUGCUUAUGGAGAGCCUGGACUGUGUUUAGGCCCUGACAAUGCUCUGCAGGGCUAAGCAAGGCCCUUGCAGCUCAAGGAUGGAGGACAGGAGCAGCAAAAGCAGAAUGUUCCCUUCAGCCAUUAGGACCCAAUGGGGCCUCCAGAUUCUCUCAGGCUUCACCUUGUGCAGUGAAGUAAAAAGAAAAGACUGAAAUGAACUGGGAAGAAGAAAGAGGACUCAUUGGGUGUGAAGACAGUUGUGGAAGAUGGAAUUCUGUUUGGUCUAGCAGGUGAAGAAAGAGGUGCGAUUGAGACCUGAUGUGUCCAGGGCUCUGUGACUUGGGGCCUGCAUGGUCUACUUGUGUAAAGAUGUUGUUGAAACACUGCUUAUACUGCAAGAUACAACAGCACCCCUGAUUGUCAAAUAGCCACAUCCUAGGUGGGAGGGUGUGUGCUCAAUGGGGCACAUGUGGGAAGCUCUUUCCCCAUCCUCUCCCACACUUUUAAUAUUUUCCCAAAUUGCUUGAUGUCAACCAUGCUGUAAUUUAUAAUCUUCUUGAAAUUAGCAUGUUUCACUUUGUUUUCUUUGCUCACUGUUUUGAAGACAGCCUGGUUAAAUCCUUCCCACUCAAGAAAUCGCUAGUCAAAAUAUUUUAGGAAGGAAGCACAAACAUUCAUUGUUUGCCUUAUUAAAAAUUAACGCAGGCAGAUGGAGAAAGACUAUGUGUGUGCUUGUCUCAGUCCUACUUGUGGUCUGUCCCUGUUCUCAUCUGGCACAUGAGGUCUCAACUCAAUAUUCUAACCCUACAAGGUUGCAGGAAUACAGGAAUGAGACUGAGGUUAAAAUAUCUUAGGGUCACACCAGGGAAGGAAGUGGAGUCAGAGCUGGAGCUGGAGAUGUUUGGGCCAGACCCAUGUUGCCCCUGAAGCACUGUAAUAGGGCAAGAAGAAGGUGUCUGUGUUUCUUGUGUAUAACAUAGUGAGAAAACUUGCCUGCUCUGAACUCCAAGCAGCACUUCCCAAAGAGAGCAGAAACUGUUUCUGCAUUUCUGGAUACUCUGCCCUCCAGAUAUUUUUGAGUCUCUUGCCUAUGAACUCCCUUGGAUUCUUUGAGUCAGCCAGGCAUCCGUGUCUGUGAGCGCUCUUUGAGUCCUUCCCCUGUGCCAGAUGCUCUCUUGGGUGAGAAUAACUUGCUUCCUGCCUUCUUCGAGGCCGCAAUUUUGUGGGGAUGUGCUCCAAAAGAAUCUUCGGCAGUAGGGGAAGUCCUCUGAUGAGGCCAGUGCCCAGUGUUCUGGGGAUCCAUGGGAGGGGCACCUGGUGGCCUAAAUUAUUCAGACAGCUAUGUUUGGGAGCACAGCUGUCAUCCUUACCUCUAGCAGUUUUCCACUCCAGGGACAAACUGCCCUAGGAAGGGGGAAAGCCUGGUGGGAAACAAACCUUCUUUCUCUAGCUGGGAUUGGGCAAGCUGCCUCAGGUGGCUCCUCAUUUAGAAUAGCACAGUCUCGAAAGUGGGUCACAGCUGAGAGCCGUCAAGUGAAGCGUUUUGUAGGGAGAUCAAUCAUGAGAAGAAACAAGUGGUCCUUAUGGUUUCACUGUAACCUACAACUUUUGAUCAGAGGGGCGGUUCUCCAUUUUAUUUUUCAUUAUCUGAAGACAGCAUUUAAAAUAAUGUUUAUUUUUUUUUCAAAAGCAGAGUAAUGGGGAUAAAAAUAAAAGGGGAAGGGUGGGGUAGUGGAAAGAUUAUCCAUUCUCUGGUUCACUUCUCAAAUACAUGCAACCUCCAGGGCUGGGAUGGGCCAAGCCAAAGCCAGGAACCAGGCACUCCAUCCAGGUUUCCUACUUGGGUUGCAGGUGUUCAAUUACUUAAGCUAUCACCUGCCGCUUUCUAGGGUGUACAUUAGCAGGAAGCUGGAUCAGAGUGGGGCUUGAUCUUAGGCCCUCUAAUAUGUGAAAUGGGCAUCGCAAGUAGCAGUUUAACCCUGGGUUAACCCACUGUGCCAGAAUGCCAACCUCAAGGACAACAUUGUUUUUAGGUGCAGUGUUAUGUCAGGCAUCUCAGCUCUGAUUGGGUUGUAAUGUGUUUCCACAUUGCAGACAAAGAACCUGAGACAGCAAUUUGUUGACUUACUCAAGGUCACACUGCUUACCAACGUCUCGACUGAGGGGUGGAAGAAUGUGCAGGAUCUCAUGGGGCCAAGAGCAGGGUGAAACCUAAGACAAGCCAGAGCCCACUGAAAUUGACUGCAGCUUAAACUGUAUUGCCUACAAACACCAAGAAGGCACUGUGCUGCCAUGGGUUGUAGUUGUUGAGCAGAGUAUGAUGCAGUUGUUAUGAGCAUAAUAGCAGGAUCCCUAGAGUGUGGGGAAAGGUGGCAAGAAGAGGUGGAGACUUGAUCCCACAAAGUCUGCUUCUAUCAGAGAGAUGCAGACUCAGGCUUGCCCUUCUACUGGGUCAGCAGGAUGGGGAGUGCAGUGAAACUCAACAGGACAAGGGGGCUUGGCCAAAUAUUCAGAGCAGGGAGUCAAUACCAGGGCACAAACUUGGGGUGUCUGGUCCUUCUGUCUGCCACAGGCCCACUAGGAAUGAAUCUAGCUCACCUGUUCACAGUGAGGAGUCUCUAAACAGACAGCCAUGCCUGCCCAGAAAUUCAUUUUAAUCUUUUAGAUGUGAAACACAACUUGAACUUUCCAUUCUGACGUGGAAGCAGGCUGGGGCAGAUUACAGGUGCCGGGCCCUGAACUGUUGUGAGGCAGAGCUCAGCAUCCCCUUGCAGGCAAUGACCUUGGCUGGCCACUGCUUGAUGGUUGGGAUCCCUUGUGGCACAGUCUCCCAUGGCAGGGGCUCUCCCUCUCUCAGACCCUCUGCUUUACCAGAGCCAUGGCCUCAGAGCCCCUCUGGGUUCCUCACGUUGAGCCAGGAAACACAGAUUUGCAGCUGGCUGUUUUAUACCCUGUCGAGCUCCCCAACAAGUCUGCUCUACAUCUCUAAUCAAUAGGCUGAGCUGCAGCACCACUUCCCAGCUGUGGUGGACCAUGGGCUGUGAAAGGCUCACUCCAGGACUUGGAGUCUGUCACUCAGGUGUAGCCACAUAGACCUAAAAAUCAGGGAAAGACACCGAGAUACAAUGAGAAACAGGGGCUGUGUGCCUGCCUGAACCCCAAGGCUCUAGUUCUCUGCCUGCUCUGUCCCUCCUAUGUGUGGACACCAGGGAGGACCCCACAGACCCUAGUCCAGGGACAUGCUGGGCCUCCCGGUGGUGCAGGGAGGUCCCUGUGCCAAGCAGAGAAUGUGCUCCAAGACUUCCUUGGAGAACUGGCCCUUCUGUCAUUGGCUUACAUUGUCUUCAGAUGAAAUUCCUCUCUCUAGUCGCAGCUUCUCUCCACGCUCCUCUCCUCUGUGGCAGUGAGUCCCAAAUACUCACUUACCCUGUGUGUGUCCUCCAGGCCCCCCGCUGCCAUUGCUCACAUUGUCCUGGGCUUGGAAGGCCUACACAUUGCUAUUUCUUGAAAUUGCCCUUCCUUCAGAGAGCAGCCUUCACAAUAAAACUUUCUUCUAUGCCUCCCAGGAGACCAGGAACUUAUUGUCUUUCCUGCUCAUAAAUCUCUGCAAUAAGCUUUUAUUAUGCCCCUUCUGAGAGUUGGCUUUUUUUCCCUCUUGGAGUCUCUCUCCUUAGAUCAGGAGCUCCUGGAGGGCAGGGGCAACACUGAUUUAUUCUGCGUCCUGCCCAGGGCACUCAUGGUGGUGUCCCCACACAGAAGGACCCAGUAGGUAUCUCAAGACCGCAAUGAUAACCUACAGUCUGUUCUUCUCAAGCAGCUUCCCAGGCUGCAGCCAGGGCAUGGGGCAAGGUCACACACUCUUGGUGUGAUCUCUCACUGGUUUCAUGCUAGUGAUCUCUCAAAACCUUCUAUUUCCUCACGUGGAAGGUAGGAUUAUAAUUACUUGAUGACAGAUAAUGGCAGAAUCUAGAUGUCCACCUACUUGAUCCCAGUCCCCAUAUACUCCCCACUUGGACAAAAGAGCAUAGGAAGGACCUAUGUACCACAGGGGAAAACCCAGGAUACAGUGUGCACUUCGUUUUUUGUUUUUUUUUGUUGUUGUUUUUUUUUUUUUUUAAGAUUUAUUUAUUUAUUGGAAAGAGUUACAGAGAGGCAGAGGCGAGAGAGGCAAAGAGACAGAGAGGUCUUCCCUCCACUGGUUCACUCACCAAAUGGCCACAAAGGCCAGAGUUGGGCCAAUCCAAAGCCAGGAGCCAGGAGCCUCCUCUGGGUCUCCCUCAUGGGUGCAGGGGCCCAAGGGCUUGGGGUGUCUUCUACUGCUUUCCCAGGCCAUAGCAGAGAGCUGGAUCAGAAGUGGAGCAGCUGGGACUCAAACUGGCACCCAUAUGGGAUGCUGGCACUGCAACACUCGCUAUGCCACAGUGCUGGCCCCAGGAACACAGAAUUUCCAGAGCUUGCUGAUCAACAAGGAAUUCUGCUGGUCCCUCCACUCUGUUUAUAUUGAGCCUCAUUUGUGUGCUUUGCCCUGAUGCUAACUAACCUCAAUACUUUAGCCAUCUAUGUAGUAUUCUGCUGUGUGAUUAUAUCUGGAUUUAUUCAGCUCAUUACUAAUUAAGAUGGCCCAAGCACUGGGACCGUCUUCUACUGCUUUCCCAGGCCGUAGCAGAGAGCUUGAUCAGAAGUGGAGCAGCUGGGACUCGAAACGGCACCCAUAUGGGAUGUCAGCACUGCAGGUGGCAGCUUUACCUGCUAUGCCGGCCCCUGUGGGCUUCUUGCAGAGGUUACACUUCCAGGUGCCCCUGUGGGUCCUACAUAUGGACUGAGCAGGGGAGCUGUCCUCUGUCCAAAAUCAAGUUAGAGGCAGCCUUUAGAGGCUUAUUGCAAAGGGUUUUUUUUCUUCAAAGUCUCUUGACUCUCCCUGGUCUUACCAAGACAAGGUGGGAGAUUGUCACAGGUUCUACCUUGCUUACUAGAUUCAGGGAACAAGACCCCUCUAUUCCCCACAAAAGGAGGCUUUUCUGAGUCUGGUUUUGUUAAUGCACUGUUCAGUUGUUCCACCAGGUUUCCUUUCCUGCUGGACCAGCCUAUUUCACUAAUUCCAUCUUCCUGAGUGUGCCCUUUUAUCUUCCACACACUUCAGAGUUCCUCCAUGCUGGUGAAAUAUUAUGCAUGCAGCUAUUUGGGGGGGAUUCCAUCUUUGUAAACCCAUUAUUUGAAUAACAACAGCAUGGUCUGAAUUAGGCAGAAACAGAAUGGAAACAUUAUAUACUGAUGUUGGUAUCAGACUUUUCCUUCUACCUGGGAGCCAUUUUCCUCUGAGCAUCAGUCAUAAGAUAGAGAUGAUCUUACCUACCCCAGAUGGCUGCUUGAACAUCAGAUGCCAUGGGGUGUGUUCAGAUCCUGCCACAGAGCCAGUGUUUGGCUCAAUGGGUUAAGCUGCCUCCUACAUUAGAGUACCUGGGAUGGAAUCCUGUUUCAGCACCCAAUCCAGCUUCCUGCUAAUGUGCCUGGGAGAUAAUUGAUGAUUCAAGGACUUGAGUCCUUCCCAGCUAUGUGGGAGACCUGGAUGGAUUCCUAGCUCCUUGAUUUGGCCUGUCCCAGGCUCAGCUCUUGUGGACCUUUGGAGAGUGAACCAAUGAAUAGAAAAUCUCAAUUCUCUCUCUCCCUCUCCUUCCCUUUCUCCCUCCCUCUCUCCCCCUCCCUCUCUGCCCCUCCCUCUCCCCCCCCCUUUCACUGUGCCUUUUGAAUAAAUAAUAGUUUAAAAAUCUUAUCACAGUAAUUGGUUUAAAAUAGGUCUUUGGUACAUGUUGGUACAUUUUAAUUCUCUCUUGAAGGUUAACCCAACAUGAUCCUUUCCCCAUUUGACUACCUGAAACAUUUCCUAGGAGGGAAGACUUGGGAUUCAGGCUUGGCCAACACUAAAUUUAUUACCUCAUCACUUUCUGUGAGCAAGAGAAGAACAGUGUCAAGUGCAGUGUGGUUAUUGAGGACAUGGGUUCUGGAGUCGGUUCUCCAUAGCUGUGUUUCUGAAUCUGCACAGAUGUAUAUCCAGGGUCCAGAUGCCAAGCUUCUCCCUCAUCCACUUGCCUGUGGACAUAAUAUUGCAGUGGUCAUAAUAGUAUUCAGUCCACAUAACUCUGCAGAUUAAAGAAGAACAUGUGUGUGAAAUGGAAGUAUAGAUUUGAUACUACACAAUAAGUGCUGCAAACUACUUAUACUUGAGUAAAAAACACUUUCAGUGGAAGUGAAUAAUGAAAUUCAUAGCAACCAGCCAUGGAGUGAAUUUGCUUGUCAUCAAGAUAAUCAAGAAGAAAUAGUGACCAAAAUACUCUGCUCCAUUUGCAGACUUCUGGAAUGCUAGGACUGGCAGUGCCUUUGGAAUUCUAACACAUCAGUAUUUCCCACAUUGUGAUCCACAAUGAUUAAGCAGUUUUCUAGGGAAAAUAAUAUCCUGUGAUCAAAAGAAGUCUGGCAGACAUGACAUUCAAAUCCUUCCCAUGCUUUGGAGUUUUAAGUCCACAUUAGAAUGUUAAAAGCUAUGCAACUCCAUAGUUUGAGAAACUUAUUUACAAUUGUUUAGCCAGUCUUCACCCAACCUUACUUGACAAUGAAACCACAUACUUUACUGAGCACCCUUUGAGUUCUCUAAUGCUGCACAAGAGAUUGCCUCCACAUUUAGUGGUUUCAGAUAACAGUGAAGAUGUGUAUUUCAAAAUCCCAUGUAUUUCCUGUGCUGGAAGGUGGAAGAUGCUGUCCCAGUUGGUGCUGUCUGGGGUGCCACUUGUCUCAUGUGAUUUCUUGUUUCCAGAUGGCUUUCUUACAAAGGUGUGCUCAAGACAGUGUUUCAGUAGGGCCAACAACAGAACCAUUAGGCAGCCAAAGGCCUAACUCCUGAAAGUUGGACAACAGCACUUCUGCUGCAUAAUAUCAGGUAAAACAAGUCACAAGGCCAGGCUGGAAUCCAGGGAUGUGAACACUGCUGUUCCUCUUGGUGGGAGGCCAAAGUGGCAUUGCAGAGGGUCACUGAGAGUGGUACAAGGAAGUGCCAUGGCCAUCUUGGAGUACAAUCUACUACUACACACAGAACACAGUUUAGGAAAUGCUAAUAUAGAAUAAGCCCCACAUUUUCUGGGUUUUGAUACUGAGAUUCAUGGGCAUUGAUUGGUUUUCCCAAGGAUACAUAGCUGGUAGUCCACAGAGCUGAGGUUACACUCUGGUCCCCAGACUCCAGGUUUUCUUACUUUACCAUGUUGUUCCAGAGGAUGACUGAUUGUGAAUGAUUUCAGUGUUGUCCAAACACUUCCUCUCUAAAUUUUCAGGGUCCAAGAACUUGUUGUUGGCCUUCUAAGCCAGUCUGGUUUGACUGUUAAAACAGGAAUAACUCAAUCCACCAGGGACUUGCUUCCUGUCUGUCCCUUCCAUUUAGGAUAGGUUCUGGUCAAACUUGGUGGUUUUGAAUGGCAUGUGCAAGGUGAGCUGUCUCUCUGAAACCUCUCGUGAGAACCACGUAAGCAGGUUCUUUUCUUUUGCCAAUACUUUUGCUGAGUUUUCUGGGUCUCUAUUGAGUCCAGCAUGUUUACAAUCCACAGUUGGAUCUUUACCUAACCCCCCAUGUCUCUAAAACUACAAUCCACCCCAGGUUAGUUACAUCAGUGAAUUUACUUAAUGCUUAUCUAAAAUGGCAACUUAUCCUAAACAUGCCUUUCAUGUUAUUAAAAUGCUUAAAAGCAAAUCCAGAAAUAAUAACCCCUCCAUGAAUUUUCCUUGAACUGAUCAAGACAAGCAUGAAAACCUAACCUGAUUUUUAUGUCUACAAAUUCUGCUCAAGCCCCUUCUACUUAAUUUUUAUGAAGACCCCUUAUUUUGCAUGCUCUGUGAGAUUUUUAUUGACUUUACUCAAAGCAUGUAUGGGGCUUGGACAUUUUCUACCUAAGUUCAGUCUUCUGUUUAUGUAUAAUGUGUUUGAAUUUUAUUUUAUUUUCUUUUAAUGCCAGCACUAUGACUUAGUCUUGGAUUCUGUGCUUUCCAAUGGAGGAAGACGCAUCUGAAUUGCUCUUUGCAGAAGCCCGAAGUCAUAUCUGCUGCCCCAGUGAACGGGGAAUACUUGGUAACAACAGCUUGGUCAAUGUCUCCAUGACAGGGACCCCUAGCCACAUUGCUUAAACAUUUGCAUGAACUUGACUUUAAAUGUCCUAGCUUGCUUUGCUCAGGAAGCCUAAUGAAAAAGACACAUUAAACAAAGGCAUGCUUUGCAGACAGGACACGAGACUGUGGCUUUGUAUUCCUUUUGUAUUAAUGUUUAUUGUGAACAGAACCCAGCCUCUCUCUACAUGGCAUUUUCUGCUCAUGUGUCACAGCAUGACAGGCUCUGAAGGCUGCAUCUCCUUCCCAUUCUUAGCUCAUUAACAAGGUGGGGUGAACAGAAGGAUGAAGGGUUUUGUGGCUGUGAUUUAUGCAUGAGGGGCAGAGGUGGAUGUUAAGUCCCUCACCUGAUAUUUAAAUCUAAGGCUACCAGGGAACUAAACAGGAGAAAGAAAAUAACAGGUGACAUUAUAAACAUAGCCAGUAUCAAAUAAACUUUGAAAGAUCUCUCUGGAAAUGCUGUUAAAAUGCAGCUCAACUCUUUGUUUAUUUGGUUGAUUUUCUCUGAGGCUGAGGGUGCAAGAAGCAGGAAAAUAAAUACAUCAUGUGAUGCCUGUGUUGCAGAACUACAGAGAGGCAGGUUAACUGAUGAAGUUCAAGUGUCAAGGAGAAAAUCCCCUUUGAGCCACUUUGGAUCUCGGAAGGUGCCAAUCUUCCUGGGCCCUGAUAUUAAAGUCCUCUUAGUGUGAAACUAGGUCCAGUUGGCAGAAGAGAGCAGCAAAUGACAUUUUGGAGGCUGGCCUAAUCGGAUGAACAAUUAAAUCACAUUCCCCUGAAAUCUGCCUUUCCAACUAUUGUCUGUGCUCAUGUCAAGAUGGAAAGUCACUUUGUGCAAGCAUGUUGGUUUAGAAAUGAAAUGUCCUCUAACAUAAAUUGAAGCAAUUUCUCUGUUCAUCAGGUCACCUUUCUAGAAUUCUCUGAGAGUCACCUGCAGUCACAGUCUUCCCUUUAAAGCAUCUGCCCUCACAUCCACCCACUCCACUCCCUACCUUUCUUUCUACUUAUCGACUCACCAGAAUUAGUAACUCAUUUUGGUGCUAUUUCUGCUGUAGGGUUACCCAAGUUAAUAUGUAUGUAACUGUGGCUGACUCAUCAUUCACUGGAGUUUGAAACAUCAGAAGCAAUGAGUUAAGGGAAUGGAGAAGGAGACAGCAAGGUCAUUGCAGUCUCCUACCAAACAAGCUUUCUUUUCCCUGGGGACUGGGACCAGUUUCCUGUGAAAAUGUCAGGUAUCAUGGAAGCGAGUUCAUGAAGGAACUAAGAUCAAAAUGCUCCAAUGUGUUCUUUUAGAAAAUGAGAACAUUAUAGGAGAGAUGUGUGCAGUCCUCAGAGAGGAAGGGUUGUUCAGAGGUGUGUGUGUGGUGGUGGUGGGGCAGGUAGGUUGAUGCAGGAGACUGUCACAGCCUAGGUAUUUACUGUAGGGACAAGAGCCACUAAGCCACCUCAUCUCAAGUCAACCCUGGGAGCAUUUGUGGGGAGGUUGGAAAGUUAAAAUGAAGGUUCAUGAAUCACUGAUAAAAUUUUUUUUUUAUAUUUUUUUAUUUAGUAAAUAUAAAUUUUAAAAGUACAGUUAAUGGAUUACAAUGGCUUCCCCCCCAUAAUUUCCCUCCCACUCACAUCCCUCCCAUCUCCCGCUCCCUCUCCCAUUCCAUUCACAACAAGAUUCAUUUUCAAUUAUCUUUACAUACAGAAGAUCAAUUUAGUAUAUAUUAAGUAAAGAUUUCAUCAGUUUGCACCCACACAGAAACACAAAGUGUAAAAUACUGUUUCAGUACUAGUUAGCGCAUUACUUCACAUUGGACAACACAUUAAGGACAGAUCCCACAUGAGAAGUAAGUACACAGUGACUCCUGUUGUUGACUUAACAAUUUGACACUCUUGUUUAUGGCGUCAGUAAUCUCCCUAGGCUCUAAUCAUGAGUUGCCAAGGCUAUGGAAGCCUUUUGAGUUUGCCGACUUUGAUCUUAUUCGGACAGGGUGAUAGUCAAAGUGGAAGUUCUCUCCUCCCUUCAGAGAAAGGUACCUCCUCCUUCUUUGAUGACCCCAUUCUUUCCACUGGGAUCUCACUCACAGAGAUCUUCCAUUUAGGCCUUCUUCUUCUUCUUCUUCUCCCCCCCCCCAGGGUGUCUUGGCUUUCCAUGCCUAAAAUACUCUCAUGGGCUCUUCAGCCAUAUCCAAAUGCCUUAAGGGCUGAUUCUGAAGCCAGAGUGCUAUUUAGGACAUCUGCCAUUCUAUGAGUCUACUGUGUAUCCCGCUUCCCAUGAUGGAUCGUUCUCUCCCUUUUUGAUUCUAUCAGCUAGUAUUAGCAGACACUAGUCUUGUUGGUGUGAUCCCUUUGACUCUUAGGCCUAUCAUUAUGAUCAAUUGUGAACUGAAAUUGAUUACUUGGACUAGUGAGAUGGCAUUGGUACAUGCCACCUUGAUGGGAUUGUAUGGGGAUACCCUGGCAUGAUUCUAACUCCACCAUUUGGGGCAAGUCCGAUUAAGCAUGUCCCAAAUUGUACAUCUCCUCCCUCUCUUAUUCCCACUCUUAUGUUUAGCAAGGAUCACUUUUCAGUUAAAAUUUAAACACCUAAGAAUAAUUGUGUGUUAAUACAGAGUUCAACCAAUAGUACUAGAACAAAACAAAGAGAAAAUACUGAAAAGGAUAAAGUAUUACAUUGUACAUCAACAGUCAGGACAAGAGCUGAUCAAGUCACUGUUUCUCAGUGUCCAUUUCACUUCAACAGGUUUCCCCUUUGGUGCUCAGUUAGUUGUCGCCGAUCAGGGAGAACAUAUGAUAUUUGUCCCUUUGGGACUGGCUUAAUUCACUCAGUGUAAUGUUAUUAGAGAGCAUUGGAGAAACUCUGCAAGAUAUAGGUACUGGCAAAGACUUCCUAGAAAAUACCCCAGAAGCACAGACAGUCAAAGCCAAAAUUAACAUUUGAGAUUGCAUCAAAUUGAGAAGUUUCUGUACUUCAAAAGAAACAGUCAGGAAAGUGAAGAGGCAACCGACAGAAUGGGAAAAAAUAUUCGCAAACUAUGCAACAGAUAAAGGGUUGAUAACCAGAAUCUACAAAGAAAUCAAGAAACUCCACAACAUCAAAACAAACAACCCACUUAAGAGAUGGGCCAAGGACCUCAAUAGACAUUUUUCAAAAGAGGAAAUCCAAAUGGCCAACAGACACAUGAAAAAAUGUUCAAGAUCACUAGCAAUCAGGGAAAUGCAAAUCAAAACCACAAUGAGGUUUCACCUACCCCGGUUAGAAUGGCUCACAUUCAGAAAUCUACCAACAAUAGAUGCUGGAGAGGAUGUGGGGAAAAAGGGACACUAACCCAAUGUUGGUAGGAAUGUACAUUGGUUAAGCCACUACGGAAGUCAGUCUGGAGAUUCCUCAGAAACCUGAAUAUAACCCUACCAUUCAACCCAGCCAUCCCACUCCUUGGAAUUUACUCAAAGGAAAUGAAAUUAGCAAACAAACAAGCUGUCUGCACAUUAAUGUUUAUUGCAGCUCAAUUCACAAUAGCUAAGACCUGGAACCAACCCAAAUGCCCAUCAACAGUAGACUGGAUAAAGAAAUUAUGGGACAUGUACUCUAUAGAAUACUGUACAGCAGUCAAAAACAACGAAACCCAGUCAUUUGCAACAAGAUGGAGGAAUCUGGAAAACAUUAUGCUGAGUGAAUUAAGCCAGUCCCAAAGGGACAAAUGUCAUAUGCUGAGUGAUAUAAGAUUUUUUUAAAGUCAGCUUUGCUAACACUGAAAAGGAACCAUCUAACUUUGUCACUAGAGUGAGCAGUCUCUUAAAGGCCAGUUCCUCUGAUGGACUGCAUGCUGGGAAGAUACCAUAACUUGUAUCUGAAGCUAUAUCAUGCAUAUUUUCUCCUACCCAAGCAAAAGUAGAGUCAGCUCCUCAGUAAGUAAUCAAGUAGUAUAUGUUUUUUUAAAAAAUAUCUUUUUAGAGCUCCUGAUUCUGGAAUGUGGAAUAGGUAUUUCUUUCUUUAUUACUCCCACUAAUGAUUACUGAAAAAAUUGGCUAUUAUUUAGAAAACAAGGAUAAGAAUACUGAAAGGUAUAGAAAUGAAAGCAGACCAACUAGGGACUUUAGCACCCAAGAAAUAACACAGUGGUGAAUUUCCUGGGUUUCCUUUGUUCUUACAUAUUUCAGACUGAGACCUCAAGAAGCCAGCAUUUCAGAAGUCCCAACGAGUGUAGACAAAAUAAGCCAUAACCAAAGCCUGCUUUCUCUUGUCAAAGAAUCAAGAAAAGCACAGCCGAGCAAGACAGAAAUCACUUAAUCAGCAAUCAUUGGAUUGCACAUAAAGACCCCAGUUAGUCCUAUCACACCAGACAAGGCCAAGUGUGGAGCCUACACUUCGAGCUUCUUAAUUCAGAAACGAACAGCAGCACCCUCCUUGGGAUGGUGUCAAGGCCCAAUAGGGAACUUAGAUUUUUCAUCUUCACUUGUCUUUAGAGAGACCUGGCUUGUUGUCAGUGGAGGCCAUAUGGAACUCUUGUGUGUUCACCCCAAAGCUAGCCACUCAUUGCAGUAAUGAGACACCUCUCCUCCUUUGUACUGGGGUAGUGUCCUAGGAAGCAUACCAGAGCCUUCUAGGACACUUUUGUUUUGUUUUGUUUUACUUACAAUGCAGGGAGGCACCAUGGUGAAUCUAGAGGAAGGAAAGAGGGUGUGUGUGUGUGUGUGUGUGUGUGUGGGUGUGUGUGUGGAGAAAAAGAGCAGCAAGUGCAUGAGCAAGACCAAGUCAGAACUAGAGAUGUGUAGAGCAGCACAUACGAAAAGUACUACACUAACAUAUGAGGGCUCUUGGAAAAUGAAUCUAAUGAGAAAACUAUGCAUGGAAAUUAAAAAAAAAAUGUUCUGUAGCAAAACAAAUGAAACAUCUGGGUAUACUUCCAACAAAAUAUGUAAAAUCUCUAUGAGGAUCACCACAAAGCUCCUAAAAAAUAUCUCAAGGAAGAACUAAACAUUUGGAGACAAAUUCUAUGGUUAUGAAUUGGAAGACUUAAUCUAGCCAAGAUAUCUGUAUUUCUUCACUUGAUAGACCAACACAGUCUUAAUCCAAAUCCUAUCAACGUUUCCAGCGCUGUGGCGUAGCGGGUGCUGACAUUCCAUAUAGAUCCUGCCUUGAGUCCCGGCUACUCCUCUUCCAAUCUAUCUCUCUACUACGGCCUGGGAAAGCAGUAGAUGGUGGCCCAAGUGCUUGGGCCCCUACCGUCUGUAUGAGAGAAUCGGAUGAAGGUUGGGGCUCCUGGCUUCAGAUCAGCACAGUUCCAGCUGUUGUGGGCAAUUGGAGAGUGAGUCAGCAGAUGGAAGACCUCUCUCUCUCUUUCUAUCUCUCUCUCUCUUCCUCACCUUCUCUGUGUAACUCUUUAAAAUAAAUAAAUCUUCAAAAAAAAUCCUAUCAAGAUGUUUUACAAUUAGCAAACUGAUUUUAAAAUGUAUGUGGGGAAGAAGAUACCCCGAAGAUCCCACUGCCCAUAAUUGAAGAUGAACACACUGGAGGACUGACGUGUCACAGCUUCACUAACUUAUGAGACAGCCAAUCAUGGCAAUGUGGGACUGGUGAGAGUCAGAAUGGUAACCCCGGAAGAGACCUUCACGAAUACAGUUAUCAGAUCUUUGACAAGAAAGCAAAGUGAUACAAUGGAGAAAGUCUUCUUAAGAAAGAGCACCAGGUUAGUGAAAUCUCCAUUCCAGGAGAGGGCAAAGGACUGUCACCAAAGGCAGGUGGCUUUCAAUGGAGAUGCAUGCCUGCAGGUCACCCUGCACAUGGAUGGCCAGGGGAGGAUGGUUCGAGGCCAUAGGCACCAGGAAAGUCUCUAGGUGUGCGUUCCCAUUAGUAACAAUGUUUAGGGCAUGUGCCUGGACAGGUGGACUGCCUGCACAUCGCUGAGUACACUGCGGUCCACCCAGGAAGCCAGGGCAGAGCAGGGAGCACAGCACAGGCUUGACCUGGACAGAGGCCUUCCCAUCCACUUUGCCUGCCCUGUAGCAACCUUGCCUGCAAGCUCAUCAUCGGGCUCACAUCUUCCCCCAGAUAAGGAGCAGAAGAAGAAGGUGAAGACUCCAAAAUAUGGCCUUAUGGUUCCCAGGAACAAGAGGACCAGCCUUGAGCACUGGAGAACAGGAAGCAGGCUCAGGACUGGCCCAUGGCUGUGGCUCCCCACCCUGGAGAGAUGAGUCAUCAGCACAGUAGCCACUUGUCACCCUCUAUCUCGUCAGAUUCUGGCCUCAGUGUGAUUCUGCAAAAAGCACCCUGUGGGGACCAGCGAUUCUGAGCCCUUGGGGUCCUGCCACUGACACAGCCAUGGCUCAUUCAAGAAUGGAGUACAGAGUGGUCAACUCCAAACCAGACUCAACAGCUAGAGAAUCCUAGGCCUUCCAGACCCAGGGGAAAAUGGCUAUGGCCUAACCUGCCCCAUUGGGAUGACCCAGGUGGCUUCUGAUGAACAGGGCCUAGUCGCCUUUUGGAGGUCGUGUGGGUUGAGGAAGAGGCUACAAGUGUCUGGGACACUUGGAGAACUGGGAUGCUCUCUCUGCCCAAGGCAGGGUUGCAGACUCCUUCCCUGUGGAGCCUCCAGACCAGGAGCCUCUGAGCCAGGAGUCUCUUCUCCCAACAUCAGGGGACAUAUUCUCCAUGCUAAUGACCCCUAGUGACAGCAUGACCUGGAGAAGCUGAACCCACUGUGACAGCAGCCCAGGAGGCCUGAGCUGCCAGAGGGCAUGUGGGCAUCUGGCCAGCCAGGUGUGCCACCAGGACUAGCUGGACAUUCUGGGGCUGCCUCCACCCACUGGCAUCCUGGUCUGUGGUCAGAAGUGCCCUGGGGUCCUCUUGCAGGCUCAGGCCAUGAGAUGCUGGAUUGUGAGAUGGGGCAGGGAGGAUGGAAGGCAGAGAAGGAAGAAGAGUGGGAACCUGGUGCCCACACACCCAGGACAGUGCACAGAGGUGAUCAUGGGCCUGGUCCCUUGGCUGGACCCACACUCCUGAACUGUCCCAAAGGCCACAUAUACCCAGCCAUUCCUGCUCCUCUGGUCCUUCCCUGGUCCACGCUGGGCACAGGUCAAUCUCAGGAACAGAUGGAACACCCUGAGCAGGGUCUCUCAUUGCAUCUGGAGGCUGUGGCACCUCCAGCCCCUUGCAAGGGACUCAGGGACCCUGUGUGGCAGCUCGGCUCCAGGGGUCACAAAAUCAAAUACAUUCUGAAAUAAACAAUUUAAUAUACAAUCAACAAGGGGCAGAAAUUCCCGGGUUCCCUCACGAAGGAGGGAGGGGUAUGUGGCAGCCCACAGGUGCCUGGGUCUGUGUCCUACCGCAUCUGCUCUGAGGGUGCCCAUAGCAACUGUGGCAGUGGACUGGCUCCUUGGCUGAGAUGAACUAGGGUGAGGCCGCUCAGGGAGGGGGAGAGGAGCUCCAGAGAGGAGCCUUGUCAAUCAGGGAGGUCAAUGGGCAUAGAGAAGCUAGGCUUCUGGCUGAGUUCAGCUAGGGUGAGGCCUCAGGUAGGGGGAGAGGAGCUCCAGAGAGGAGCCUUGUCCAUCGGGGAGGCCGCUGUGCUUAGACAAUUUAGGCUUCUGGCCCAUCUGAGCUGGACACCUGGUGGGCUGUUCUUCCCCUCCAGGUGCCCACACACAUCCAGCUCCUCCAUGGAGUGGGCAGCAAGGAGGCCUUGAGCCAGGGAGGGCACACAGGCCUGGUCUCCCAGCGCAGGGCUGGCUCCUGCAGGCUCCCACCCAUGACUAUCCCCAGAGUGCAUGGGCUCCCAUGAAGGGAGGGCAUCUUCAGCCCUGCUUCCAGGGCUGGUACAGCCUGCAUGGGCCCGGGAUCCAGGGGCUCUGAGGCAGGUGAAGGAGGGGCCCUGAGACCCUGCUGGCCACCCAGCUCCAGGGGCCAGGAAUCAGCACCUUUGACAGGCGGGCUGAGAUUUGGGAGGCCCCCCCAUUGGGACAGGUCUCCCCUGCUCUGCAAGCUCUGUGGGGCCAAGAGGCCCAGGCCAUGCAGACACUCUGAGGACUUCACAGACAGGGCUGGGGACGAGGGCUCCGGGGAGGCGCCCUCUUCACAGCCUCCCUCCUUGUCCUCUUCAAAAAUCGUUUCAGGCAAGAUGAAUCCCAGGUCCCGCAGCAGCUUUGGCCAGGGCGACACAGGGCACUCGGCAGCCCGGUCUUCCUCCUCUUCCUCCUCCUCUUCCUCCUCCUCUUCCUCCUCUUCCUGCUCCUCCAGGCCGUUGUAGUACUCCUCGUUGUCAGAGUCGGAGUCGUCAUCUUGGAAGGUCAUGUUGAGUUUGGUCAGGGAAGUCCAGCGCCGGAGGGGGCCUGCUCAUCCAGCCAGGAGCACUGUGGGCCCGAGAGGUGGGUGGUGCCCCCUGACCCUGAGGCCCCCGUGGAGGAGCCCUGGCCGUGGGGCUGGGUGGUGCUCUCGCCACGACUGCCCUCCUUCUUGGCAUGUUGCUUGGUUUCGGGCUGGACGGGAGAUGCGAGAGGACCGGUCUCCCCGGGGACAGAAACUGAAGCCCCCACUGGCUCCUGGGGAGCUGCAGCAGCAGGGUGGCAGCCUUUGCUCUCCUCAACGAUGGUCUUGAGGGACACUGGUGGGGGAGUGCGCUCCUGAGAGCCAGGCGGCACCUGCAGGGCCGGGCUGCCAUCUUCGGUUGGUUUUGCUGGAAGAACAGAUGGGUUUUGCUUCUGUACAGCCACCAUCUGGCCUGCAGGGUGCCUGCCCUGCCCUGACCCUUGGGGUCCCCAUCGCUCGGUGUGAUGCUCAGGAUACCUCCAGCCUGCUGGCCACAGAAGGAAUGGUGCAUGCAGCCUGGGCCAUGGGAAUGACAGGGACACCUCUGGUUCUUCCCCCAAAGCGCACAGACUGGACAGGCCUUGAGCCCCCCUCCUCACUCUCUCAUCUCUGCGGACUGCAGGCACCAAUGCAGGACCCCAUCACCUACCCCACCUGAAAUCCUGGGCCCUAACAGUGCAUUGGCUGAGUUACCCGCAUCUGAGUCCCUCCUGAAUUGUAGGAAGGGAACUGAGCCUAAGAUGAUGGGGGUGAGAGCUGGGGUUGUGGGGCAGACAUGGAGUCUGGUUCAGGCCCUCGGGGACAGGGAAUGCAGUUUCUAAAGAGGUGGCAGUGGUGCCCUGUGUCCUCUGCCCCUGGGCCACUGUCCCUUUCCCGGUGAGAUUGGGCUGUCAACGCUUCUGUCCCACUAGCACCCAGGGGAAGCAGCACCUGGAAGCACAGUGGGGCCUCCCCAGUGCCUGAACAACCUGCCCCUGGGCCCCCACUGCCAGCCCCUAGAGCUGGGACAAACCCAUCUCUGCUCUGCAUGGGGACCCAUGAUCUCAGGUCCUUGGUGGCAGUAGCAGCAGGGGACGAGCACGGAGACCCCUCCCCACCAGAGCCCAGAGGCCAGCGCUGCUCCGGGUUCUGCUGACUUCUGUUGGCCUGAGGCUAGGACUGCAGAGCAUACACUCAGCUGCACUUGGGUUCUGCCAUGGGGGCCUGCAGCGCCUGCCUCUACGCCCACCCUGCUCACAGGAGUGGACUCGGCCCCCACAACUGGGCUAAGGACACCUGGGCCUUCCAGGGGUCCUCAGAUGGCUGAAGAGGAUCCAGUGCCUGCUGGAACACCCUGCAGGAGGAUCCAGGGAAGCUGCCCGAGGCCCCGCCAGGCCAUGCUGUCAGAAGCUCCUGAAAGCAGAACUGCUGAGCCCGGGGAGGACAAGGAGGACUAGGAAGAGGUUCUGCUCACCCAGGCCAAGCAUGAGAACCCCCCAAGUCCUCCAUCCCCAGCACCAUGGCCUCUGAUGGCCCUGAGGACUUACUUCGAUGGACCUUGAGGAUGGUGUAUGCCAUGAUGGUGAGUAUGUGUGCGCCCUCAAGGAUGUAGAUGUCCCACAUCCGAAGUGCCAGGGGGAACGGCACCUGGGGGACAGAGGCAUUGGAGGACCCCGCACAUCAGGGCCUCAGCAGGGCCCAAAGUGGGUGGGUGUGUGGUGUCACAGGGCAUCCUAGCUGUGUCCUAGAAGCCCAGAGAGAAAGAGCACCAAGGCCUAUCCAGGACCCUGGUGCCACCCAGACUGCUCUGCACACUUUGGUAGCCACACUGGGAUCCCAGACUCCCAUGAACCUGGUAGAUGGUUCAGCCCUUGGGCUGUGCAGAAACUAGCCUGUGCCACCCAAGGUCUAUGGAUCUCUUGCCUCUCACUGUAGGGCUCUGGCCUUUGCCAGGCUCUCAGGAUGGGUCCUGGUGGGACCUGUCCCCUCCUUGCUGUCCCUGAGGCUCAGCCUCAACUUGGACCACCCUCAGCAGGACAGGGCCUGCCUGGUCUGCACAGCAGGCUCCCUCCUGUAUCUGUUGGGGCUGGGGGAGCUCAGAGUCAGAGGCCACCAGGUCAAGAGAGCCAGGUACUGGGGAAGGAGCUUCCCUGGUCAAGGGGUCCCUGGGGCACUUACCCCAUCCAGGAAGCACUGGAUGUACCAGUGGGUGGUGUAGUCCUCGAGGCACACCCCCUCCUUCUCCUGAGAAGAGGCAAAGGCAGAGGAGGCUCAGGGCCCAGGGCCCAGGCCUAACUCGCUCUAAUCUGCGCCCUGUGGCAGAGCCCUUGGGUACAGGAAGCCCAGCAGCAGGUGCAUCCCCUCUCAUAGCCAUGCAGGUUCUUGAGGAAACACAGGUCCCUCAGUCCACUCUGCCCUGGGGACAGCGUCUCCCUUCAAUCUACACAAACUCUGGGGGACCAAGUGCUGGAAAUCAAACCAGCACCCAAGCUUCCGUGGACCCCAGUAACCAAGGAAAGCCUUGGUGAGGACAUAGCCUCCCCUGGCCCAGGAAGCAGUCAGGACCCCUCUCUGUCCUCCCCUCCCUGAGCACAGAGCCCCCGAGGGGAGAAAGGAGAUGUUUACUUACCAGGUGUUUCUCCAGGGAGAGGAGCACGCGAUGCAUGAUAUCUCCGAGGUGUUGCUGGAAUCGCUCCAGUUUUGGGGAGUCUGGUGUGUAGAAAUCUGUGUAAUAGCAACCCACCAGCCCUCAUUCAGAGUGUCUUCUCAGGAAGGUUGGAAAGCCAAAGGCUUGGGGUGGGGUCUUUCUGAACACAGAGGGUCAGGGGAGGCUCUAACAGGCAGGGGAGUAUCAGGGGAAGGGGGGUACAGCUGACAGCCCAGGGCAGGCUAAGGUGACCUCUGGGCAGACUGCAGUGAAACUGGGUGCCUCAGGGCCAUCUGGACACUCAGGGUGAGGAGGGGUCACCCUAGAAUGGAUGCUUCUUCUGCAAGGGUGUGGCUCAGUGGGUGGGAGUCUGAGUAGAGAUGUGAAGCAGUAAGGCCAGUAGAGACCUAAAGGUCAUUUGUCAAAGACAAGGCACAGGACCUUUGUGUGAUGGGAAGUGAGGGGUAUGGCUUGGUAUUGGGCCCUCUGCCGGCCAUGGCUUCUAAGGAAGUAUUCUGAGGGAGACCGCCCUAUGCACGCAGCAGCCAGUGAGGGACAAUGUCCCAGUCACUUGUCUGCAUGCCCAUCCCUGCACUUGCACGGACCACACCCACCACACCCAUCACCCACCAUGCAUCGCGUGCUGGCUGUCCUCCAUGAGCUGGACUAGUGCCCAACAAGCAUCCUCUUCACUCAGCCACAUCAGCAGCAGGGCUGCCACGUGGCUUAGGCCCUGGCUGUAGCCCAAUUCCUGGAAGAACACAAAACACAUCAGAGGGACCUCCCUGGCUGGGAUGAUCUCAAGUGGUAAGGGUGACCUCUCCUGGGAGGGCUGAGCGUUACUACCAGGCCCCACUGCUGCCCCUUGAGUAUGAGGAUCUCAGGGACUGGAGCACACGCCAGCUCUCAAAGUUCCUGGAGAGAAUCCUGCAGGGUCUGAGCGCAGGCUGUGCAGGGUUAAGAAGAGGUAUGAGCCCCACCCCAGAUGUCAGAAAGGGGAAGAAUGUUGUGGGGGAGUGCAGACUGCACACCCGUGAUGGCCUCUGGAGCUCUCUGCUGCACAGGUGCCCUGCUGGGCCCCACUGCAGAUGUGAGGAAGAAGCACCAUAGUAAGGCCUGCCUGGGCCAGAACAGAGCCCAGCCCAGGAGAAGGCUUCCGUUCUGCCCCCAGAACUUGAGGUUGGGGCCAAGGAGGCCAUGAGCUUGAACUCUACCCCUCAGUCUCUGCCUUGUGGAUUAGAGAGGCCCCCUCAACCCAGCUAGGAUCUCUGUGACCAAGGGUGCCCUUCAUGGACAGCUCUGGAUAUGACCUUGGAAUGUUAUCGCAGAAUACUCACGGGGUUGUACAUCGAGUAUGCGAGGAGCACCUCAAAUAAGGAGCGUUGUCUGGAAGAGAGAGGACAGAGGCUGUGCGUCCUGUGCUGCCGAGGCUCUCAGUGUGGCUCUGCCUAACAGAGCCUGACAGCCACACGCAGGGCCCGUGAUACUCUGCUCAUGAGCAGUGACGUUGUCAGGGCACCUGCGUGUGGUCCACCGUGUGGGUGAGCGCUGCCUGCAGGGACACACACACUUCACAGGGUGCAGUCACAUGCAGUUUCGUUUCCCCAGGUGGGUGUUCAUUGCAGAGGUGAGCGUCCCACUGUGGGAGGUGCAGUCCCGUGGGUCUAAGCCGUGGAGAGUCAGCCUCCCAUGCACGUUCAGCCUGGUAGCGAGCAGCUCCUGUCACCUAUGUGUUCCCCAUGAGCCUCAGUGGCCAAACUCCCCACCUCCCCCAGCCCGUGGCCACCACUGCCCUGUUGUGUGUCCCGGAUUUGGCCUCUUGCAGACAUCCUGUGAGUGGAUCACAGCACGUGUAAUCUUAGAGGGACGUUUCCUCUCUUAGCAGGAUGCACCUGAGAUGCAUCCAGGUGAGCCCAGGGCUGAGCCUCGUCCUGCCUCUCACUGAAUCCCAUUCUAGGAUUCAGCUGUGACACGGGUUGCUUAUCUGUGUCCCCACUGAGCAUCAUGCAGGCUAGUCCUGUGUCCAGUGACUGUGAACACAACCCUAAAUCUUGCGUGAGGGUUUUCUGUGUGCUCAGCUGUUCUGGUGGUUGUGUACAUGUGCCUGUGUGCUGGGGGUUCGUGUGGAAGGUGUGUGUUUCUCAUUGUAAGAAAUGGCCCUGGGUGCCUCCGAGGGCCUGGGCCACUGUGCUCUGUUCCUGCAAUGAACCAGAGUGGCACUCACCUCACAUUGUCCCCAGCACCCGGCAUCCUCAGUGGUCUUAGUUCCCCCAUUCUCACAGCUGUGCGCUGGUGCCCCGUUGUGGUUUAGGUGCUAAGCUUGUGUUCAUUGUUGAGUAGGAGAAUUGUGUGUGCCGUCAUGCAGGGGCCCUCCUGAGCCUUGGCCCAUGUCAGGGCAGGGAACCCUCAUUUGCUUUCUUAUUAUUGAGAUUUACAAACUUCAUUUUCUGUAUUUUGUAAAUACUGUCUCCCCUUGUGUUCCAUUUGAUUUCAUUCCCACCAAAGUGUCUUUAGGAAAGCAAACUGUUCAGUAUAAAUAGAAGGCCAUGGAUCCAUUUUUUUCUGUUCUAGAGCAAUUAUGCUUUAGGUUUGUGUCCACGUCUCUCCCAGGCCCCCAUGUGUCCCAUGAACCUUGCACCUCCCUCCCCCGGGGCCCCUGCAAGCCCAGAGGCCUCACUUGGCUCUGUAUCUCUCUCAGACCAUCACGUGACUUCUGAAUGUGCAUGCCACCUCUUCAUUGAUCUGUUGGACUUGAUCUGAGCACAACCUGGCCCGUUCCUUCAUCUCCUGCAGGGCAUGGCUGAGGGGGAGGGGCCGGCCUCAGGACGAGCCAACCCCCACUGCCACACAAGCACCCCAAAGCCACAUCAGCCCUUCUGGUUGGCAGGGAGAGUUCCCCCUGGGAGCAGCUCAUUCCCCUGAUCCAGGGAGGGUCAUGGGUUCCCCACUCGCCUUAGUGUCCACGCCACCCCUGUGCCCAGCAGAGGGGCCACUGAGGACCUGCUACAGUCAGCCUGAGGCCAGGGACUCUGCCAAUGUCCUUCUGUGCUACCUCUGCCUUCCCAGAGCAGAAGAGACUGAAUCAGGCCUCCGAGCCUCCUCACUGGGCUCUCAGGCCCCACAGGACAGGAGUCAGCCUCACCCUGACCAGCCUUCAGGGCUGCCCCCUGCAGGAGAGCCCCAGCUCCAUCAAGAGAGUGGACACCCUUCUUGGAUUUGGAGCUGGCCCCAGGGGCAGCCCCCACUUGAAGACUUGGGCGAGGGCGGGGCUGGCGGCUCAGUUGCUCCUUGCUCCCUGAUGUCAGCCAGGGAGGUGACAGCCUGGGGCCAGCCCUCUGAUGGAUUAGCCCUCAUUCCCAGAAGCAGUUGAGAGCUGACUCUGACCGAUGGAACCAGCAGGCCUGGUGGGGGCUGGGUGAGCUGAGGCCAGGCCAGGCAUGAGAAGGCCCAGGUGAGGGCAGGGCCUGGCGAGCAUAACAAACGCACAAGCAGUGUCAGGUGUGGGGAGGGCUGUUUGGGACAGAGCCAGCUGAGGGCCCUAGCACACAGGACUUCCACCUCAUUCCAGGCAUUCUCUAUCCAUUCAGGACCCAGCACAAUGGCACUGGGCAGUCCUGGGCCUAGAGGCAAGGCAGGACCACAGGGAUAAGGGCUGUGGCCCUGACCGGAUCCUUGUGUCCAGGCCCAUUUGUGUGUGGGGAGACAUGGAGGAGGCCUCUGGGGAGAUGUGGAUGAGGCAGAGGGGAGGGCCGGGUGGGGGCCCCAACCGAAUGACCACUCUUCCUUGGCAUUACUUGUUAACCACGUGGGAGCCUCGGGCUCCUGACCAGGCCCGAGCAGGUCGGGCUGCGUCAGUUGCACGCAGAGCCAUACCUCGAAUUUGCCAGGGUUCUGGGCCUUCCUGGUAUCCACGGAGAGCAUCAUGGCCCACACCUUGCCGCGCACCUGGGCGGGGAUGCCUUUCUCAAUUCUCCGAUGGAACUACAGGAGAGAGGAGGCUCUGGUGAGACCCGCCCCAGGCCCUCUGUCGGAGGGGAGCGCAGGGUGAGACAGCAGGAAGGGGAGCCCUGGGCUCUGUGCUGUGUCCCCAGAUCUGCCUGGACCUGGGCCUCCUGACCCAACAGUGAGAGGAGGGCCAAGGCCUCAGUGCAGGCUCUGUCGUGCACUAACUGCCCCUACAGGGCACCAGGAACUGUGCCUGCCCUGCAUCUGGGAGUGGCCCCAGGGGAGACUUUGGAUCUUCUACUGUGACAGUGUCCUGGGUGCAUGGGCGUGGUGCUGAGAUGACCUGUGUCCUUUCAGGGCAGGACAGUUGUGUCUGAGAGGCACAGUGAUGGGUACCGUGCAUCCCAACUCCACCCCCAGUGGUCCCCAGGGGCCCUCAGGUCCAGGCACCUUCUUGCUGCUGCAGUACUUGGUGAAAUUUCGCAGCAUCUUGUUCCAUUUUUGCAGUCGGCGGCCCUCCUGAUGUUUACGCUGGGAAUGGAGACAGGAUGGUGUGAGCCCAGCAGUGUCCUCUGAGAGAGGACACAGGUGCAGCUCAGGAGCCUGUGGACAACUCAGCUGGGAGGAGCCAGCAAAGGGGCAGACCACAGCACCCAGACCUUCCAACUAGGGGAGCCUCAGGGGCUUGGGCUCUGCCCACAGGACAAGCAUCACAGUGGCCCACAGGCAGGGACCCAGAGCUGCAGGCCUGCAUUGGGACAUGUGGGCCUCAACAGAUCUCCUGGGAACUGCUGUCCCUGGAGGACCAUAUGGCACUCCACUGACCACUGCCCAUACCCACAGGCCUGCUAGUUCUGCCUCCUAGAUGAAGAGUCCAUGGCCAAGGUCAGCUUACCCAUUGCACUGCCAGGCAUCCAUGCCUGGGCGGCUUCUGCUUACUGAAAGGCAAGAGAGACAACACCAUGAGAAUGGGCACUGAACCAUGCAUGGUCCACUUCCCCAGCAAGGCUGGGACAGGACCCGUGUCCUCCUCACCCUGCUGAGGUCCAGCCUAGGGCACAGAGAAGGGCAUGGUGGGGGCAGCCAUGCUACAGGCAGACACCCAGCAGGGGCUGUGACCGUGAGCACAGGGAGCCCAGGGCCAGGGAGGAGCCCUUGCUGCCAGUGCUGUGAGUGUGCAGCUGGGGCUUAAGGCACCUGGGACCACCACACCCCCAGGGUCCCCCCAUCCACCCUCCCCCACAUUACUGGCUGCCUGAGGUGCCUGCUUCCCACCUCACCCUCCUCUGUCAACCCGGACUGUGGCCAUCUCUCCACCACUCAGCUCCUGCUUUUUCUCCAGGUUCGGGCACAACAUGGAGGCAGAAACCCCUAUCCCCGAGCUAAAGUGGGCUUCUGAGUUGCGUCAGAGAUGGCCCGAGACGGCUCCAGCCCUCUAGGUCACCAGAACCCACCCUCCAGCCACGGGGCCUCUCUCUCUGAUAUCUGUGGGAACAGUCUCCAAGUCUCCCUCCUGCCCCAGGCCCACUCCUCCCAGCAUAGACCCGGGGGCUGGGCCCUCAGCUGCAAACCCCUCUGCCCUGGUCUGUACUGGGGAAGCCUGCAGGCAGGUUCAGAGCCUUGAGGUCACACCCUUGGCCGUCCCUCAGGCCAGGCCUUAAAAAGCCUUUAGCUUGGCCCCUGAGACCCAGGUACCUCCUGGACAACCGCCAGAUGCUAGGCUGGUGCCCCAUCUCUGUGGACACAGCUCUGGAAUGCUGAUGACCUGGUUGUGUCCCCUAGGAGCAGGGCAGGACCCUCAAGCCACCCCCUCUACUUAGCAUGAACAGAGGCCUCAGAGGCAGAGUGCCCUGUGCUUGCCCCAUGUCCAGCUCUGUCUCUGCCUGCAGUUUGGAUUCACUCACUGGGUAAUCAGCUCUGGCCACACACUGACCAGUGCCUGCACUGUGACAACAGCUUGGAUCAAGGAGGGGGCCUGGGGGCAGGUGUGCUACCUAAUGGUGGGGUUUCUGACCCUGGUGCCUCCCCUGGGUGGAUCGGGGUGCAGAGGACUCACCACAGGAAUCCAAGUUUGUCUGGGAUGUGGACUCCAUUCUCGUCGUCCUCUUCUCCCAGCUGAAACUGGGACCCUGCAGGGGAGAGGGGACCCAGGUGAGAAGUCCGGGUCUCAGUCACUGGGGGAAGCUGAGCCACCCUCCCGCUGUGUCCCCAGGGAGGUGGGGUCUGGCUCUCACAAGCACAGUACUUGAGGCAGGGUCCUACCUCCUCUCCCAGCACCCUGGCCUAUACCUUCUCAUACUGCAUGAUAAUCGCUACUCGCUCCUGGGCCCUGCCGGACCUCAGGGCAUCCAUAUCCAAUCUGUAAGACACACACACACAUGUGAGCCAGCACAGGGGAGCCCACGGGAACUGCUGCCCUGAGGGCUGUCCCCGUGGUCAGAGGGGGGACAGCCACACAGCCAGGUGGGCGGGCACCUGGUGGUCGGGUCCCAGGAGGAUGACUUGUGCAGAGCACAGGGACUAGGGACGGUUGGGGAAGGACAGCCCCCACCUUGCCUCCCCUGCCUUCAGAAAGGAUGCUCCUCCCCCAGCCUGGCAUCCAUGUGUCCUCCAGGGAGCCCAAGUCUAAAGGUCUCCCUGGCCUGCUCCCAGCCCCCGCAUCUCUAGGGCUCUCAGAGCCCGCCUCCCUGCCCCACCUGAUACCAGCUGAUCUGACACCUAGUCUUGAACUCGUGUCCAGACACAGACUCACACCAAGGCCCAUUCGACACUGAUGCCCAGCAGAGCGGGAGGAAUGAGACGACUGUAUACAUGCUCUGCACACAGGGGCCCACUGAGAGCUCAGCCACAUCACUCAUGGAACCUGGCGUGGGAGACCAGUGCCACCCACCUGGCGUGACCUUCCCCAUGUCACAGCUCAUGCAGAGAGCAAGUCCCACUCACCUCCGUCGUGAAUCCAUUGGAUUCUAUCAAAUGUGCCUCCUGCCUAUCUACCAACAUCUGGUCAGUCGGGCAGUAGGCCACCCCACCCCCAGCCUCAGACCCAAAGAUGGUCAGGUCCAGACCCAGGUCACGUGAUGCCCAGACUUCCACAGGCACAUGGAAGCCCCGAGAGGCCUGCAGCCCCUGCAGCCACCGGGAGAUGUGCUCUGUUGCCUCCACCCCUCCCCACCCCGGUGCAGAGGCAGUGCGAGGAUUCCUAGGAGGGAAGUCCCGUGUGGCCCAAUGAUGAACUCUGUGGCCCUCAGCAGAGUGGUCGAUGGGGAGAAAUGGACGCUGAAGGUGGGUGAGCAGAGGAUCUGGCACUGCCCUAGAAGAGAGAAUCAGAGGCGCACCUGCAACAGGGUGGGUUCUGGGCGUACGUUAUAGGUCAGAUGGAACUAAUGGCUCAGUGGCUGCUUCAAAGCAUCCAGAAGGGAAGUGAGCUGGGUGGCACUUGGGACUGUGUCUGGGGCCUCGGGCAUCACUCACUGGGAGUGGUUGCAAUAGGGAAGGGGGUGCAGGGUGCCAGAAUGGCCCUAUUGGUUAUGCAAACUGGGGACUCAAAUUACCCUGAGCACUAGUUCCUGGGGACACACAGUCUCCAGCCAAGACAGGGGGGCUGCAGCCCAUGGCCUGAACCCCAGCGGGCUCUCAAAGCCCCUUCCCAGGCAUCUGGCCUUCAUAGGAAAACAGGCCAGAGGCCAGAAGAGCAGGGAGCCCCCUGGAGGCCAGAGGAGCUGAGACUCCCUGAGGGUGGCCUCAGCUGUUCCUGCCCUACCCCAGUUCUGCAGACCCCAGCUGUCAGGACUACCGUGAAUUGCAAUGGUCUCACCACACAACCCUGGACCUCCCUUCAGAACCAGCCCUGUCAGGAAUCAGAAGAGCCCUUCUGAAGCCGAUGCCAGCUGUCCCUCAGCACCAACCCCCCCCCACCUCUGCUUUGGAGCAGAACCGGGUAUGGCAGCGUCCUGCUCCUGCAAUGCUUCUACCCUCAAAAGUGUAGUCACUUUACUCACCCAGCAGCUUCUCAGCAGGGACAGGCAACGCUCUCCUGGGCAGGCACUUCACCGAGGCUGAAGGGGGGCUGGCAAAGGCUAAACUGGCAGCAGGCAGCAUUUCCAGCAUGCAGUCUCUCCCAUGAAGGCAGAGAAGGAACUCCUUCCCUCAGCGGCCCAACUUCCGGGAGCCAGGGGCAACUCCAGCAGAAACCACGACCUCGUGUGGAGGACAUGCUGGAGAAGCCCCCAGGGCCCUGGUGCACUGGAUUCUUCCUGCGAGAACCUCAUUCCUCUCUGUUCAUGUCUCCCAAUCCACCUCCUUCCCCCAAAUCCCCUCCACCAGGAGUGCACAUUGUCCCCAGCACACAGGGACUGCAGGGGACAGCGUCCAUGGAGCUGCUGGGAACUGCACGUCCACACCUGUAUCCAGGCAUCUGUAGGGGGAGCUGCCGUGUUCUUGCCUGAUCCCUCCUACCUAGACCACUCUGGGCCAUUGAGACUCUUCCCUGGAACUGGGGUCUUAGAAGCCCAUUCAUUUUUAGUGGCUGAGAUCGCAGGCAGAAAGCUCAGGCACUGUCCAUGUCCAUCGUGGAGAACAGAGCCAAAGAAAGGAACGCAGGGAGCUGGUGCCCAGGGAAGAACAGGAACCAGAGGUGGGCGCCCAGCCUCUCCCGAGGGUUCCUGAGGCCACUACAGCCAAGCCUCCCCAGGGAUCCUUCCAAUACAGCCCUGUUUUGCAUAAGCAGGCUCCAGCCAGGUUCUUCCCUCAAAACCCAGAGGAUGUGGGUGCAUAGGGCAGGGGGGCAGGGGUGAAACAAAGCUGAGGUCAAGAGUGUGAAGCUCUCAAAUGCCACCCAGAGCUCAGCCACUCCCCCCACCAAGGCGUCAGUGGGUGUUGCUGAGCCAACCACCCAUACAUGUGGCAUUGCAGGAGCUGAACAGAAGCAGGUGUGGCCAGGGACAUGGGCGACAAGGUCAGCAGGGCUGGCUGGGACAGCUGCCUGGGGUACAGGGAAGAGGGAACAGAGUCAGGCAGGGGGUGGAGAAUUAACAAGGAAAGAGAUUAGAGCGUUUUAAGGAAAACCUCAUUUUCAACCAUGCUCCCUGAGAAAAGGGGGCUGGUGGAUCAACGGAGGUGACGUCGGCAGUGCAGACUGAGGAUGGUGAUUCGGGAGCUCUGACCAGACAGCACUGUCUCUGCAGGAAAACCUAGACGGAACUGGAAAGAUCAGUGCUGACUCUGCAUUUGUCUCCACCAUGAGAUGCCGUGUCCAAUAUUGCCAUGAUAAUUCAGCUGAUGGAAAUAAAAUGAUUCCAUCUCUUGACAACAGGUUUAUGACUCCUCUAUUUUUAAAAACAAGCUAAAUAUUUUAUUUCUUUCAAAGAAAAAUGUGAUUUUUUUUCCUUACCAGCCACAAUAACUUAAAUGAGUGACACCCUUCAGUGCAUAUAUGUAUCGUGUUUUUCUCUUUUUGAAUAGCUGAUACAUAUAUAUGACUGUCUUAGAAAACAGAGCACAGAGGGGUGGGUGGUAAAAAGUGACUCUUCCCCUCCCCCACUCUGCAUUUAAAGCACUGAUACUGGGGUUGGCGUCCAGCACCAUGGCUAGGAUGCCACUUGGGAUACCCGCAUCCCAGAUCAGAACAUCUGGGUCCGAGUCCCAGCUCCAUUCUCAAUUCUAGCUUCUUGGAAGGCAGCCGGCAAUUGCUCCACUAGUUGGGAGACCUGGAUUGAGUUAUGGGAUCCUGGUUUUCAGCCUGACCCAUCCCUGGCUGCUGUGGGCAUUUGAGGAGUAAACUAAUAGAUAGGACCUCUCUCUCUCUCUCUCUCUCUGCCUCUCUGCCUCUCUGCAUUUCAAUAAAAUUUAAAAUAAAAAUUCGGGAGCUACAUGGCAUAGCAGAUUAAGCCACCACCUGUGAGCUAGCAGAUAGAUCUCUUUCUAUCCUUUUCUCUCUAACUCUGCCUUUCAAAUAAAUAUAUCUUUAAAAAAUAAGUAAAAAAAAAAUUGAAGCCACAUUCCCCAGUCUCUUGCUGCUCCCUCCAGAGGUGGCCGUAGAUGCACAGUGACCUGGUUAUGUAGCCCUCCUUCUGUAUAGACUGUGCCACUCCUUGCUCUUCCCCUGAAUACAGCAUGAGAGUGUUUUCUCUCUGUGUGGGUAGACUGCCUCUCAUUUUGAAAUGAUUCCAUGGGGGCUGGCACUGUGGCACAGUAGGCUAAGCUUCUGCCUGAGGAGCUGGCGCCUCAUAUGGUGCGAGUCCUGGCUACUCCACUUCUGAUCCAGCUCUCUGCUAUGGCCUGGGAAAGCAGUAGAAGAUGGCCCAAGUCCUUGGGCCCCUGCACCCACAGAGGAGACUGGGAAGAAGCUCCUGGCUCCUGGCAUUGGAUCAGCGCAGCUCCAGCUGUUUCGACCAUGCAGUGAAUGAACAGAUGGGAGACCUCUCUCUCUUUGUCUCUCCCUCUCUAUAACUCUGCCUCUCAAAUAAGUAAGUAAAUCUUUAAAAAAUAAAAGAAGUGACUCCUUGGUAUUUCUGUGUAUUAUUUUCUUUACUGUAUUUUACUUGAUAAGAUCCCAAUGGACGAACUUUUACAUAGCUUGAAUUCUUUUACUAGAGUAACCAGGGCUGUAGUAAAUGAUGUUAUGCUUUUCAUGGGGAUAUGCCUAGGACAAAUUCCCAUAAUUGAAACUUCUAAGGCAGAGUGAAUGGAGCAGGCUUUGGGCACAGUACUUAUGUCACCACUUGGGAAACACACAUCCCCUAGCAAAGUGCCUGGUUCAAGUCCUGGCUGCUCUACUUCAGGUCCAACUCCCUGUUAAUGUGCCUGAGAAAGCAAUGGAAGGUAGCCCAAAUCCUUGGGCUCUUUCCACCCACAUAGGAAACCAAAAUGGAGUUCUGGGCCCCUGCUGUUUACAGCUGUUUGGAGCAUGAAACAGCAGUUAGAACAUCUCUAUCUCUCCCUCUCUCUGUCAUUCUGCCUUUCAAAUAAACAAUUUUUUUUUUUUUUUACAAAAAGCAUUCACAAGCCGGAAGUUCCUCUCCAAUGGGAUCACACUGCCAGGCAGUGGAACUUUUAUCUAUGGGGGUCCCAGUGCAAGGUCAUCACAUCACUGGGAGCCUCACCCUCAGAAGUGAGGAAUGUAGUUCUGGUGGCACCUGGUUAGUUCCCCAGAGAGGGCUUGUUAUCAAGAGAGCAAGCCAGGGCCUUGAAUCCCUCAGUCUUCCCAGCUGGCUGGGUCUCUCUUCUGCACCUGCUGCCACCACUCUGAUGCCAUCUGCCGUGAGCCCCACACCAGAGGCUGAACAGAUGGGGCCACCUGAUCCUGCCCUUUCAGCUUCCAACACGACGAGCCAAAAAACUUCUCAUUAUACAUUUCUCAGCUUCAGGAAUUUUUUAAUAGCAACAACAAACAGACUGAGACACUUUGUUAAUGGUACCUUUAUCCAUGAAAAAAUCAUUUAUCAGUCACAUUUAUCCAUCUUUUCUCUUUAUGACUGCUGGAUUCUGUGAAAUCCUUUCAAAUGCCUUUUCUACUUUAAGAUUGAAAAGGUGUCUUCAUGUUUACUUUUGGUUCUUUGAUUUUUUCAUUUGUAAAAGAUUUUAGUAUUCAAUAUAUCGAGAAUUUUUUUUUUUUUUGGUUUAAAGAGAGAGGUAGAAAUUCAACUUCAUUUUUUUCCAGGUUAUUACCUGAGUCAGUGCCUAAGUAACUACAGCUUCCACAUGGCACUAGGAGGCUCUUUGCAAGCUCUCCCCUGAGGCAGCCGUAUUAGGCUCUUGUAAUGCUUACCAUUCCUCUCUGCAAUGCCGAACAGAUUAUGCCAACAGGCAGCUCCAGACGUCUGAGGCUCUCCACCUGUUUACUAGCCAGUUCCUAAAGAUGCAGGGAGUGAGAUGAUAACUCAGGGCAUCUGAUGGGCAGAGACUGUCCACCAGCCAGAGGAAGAGGAAGGGCCAUGCCCUCUCCCACGCACCCUCACUGCACCCUGUGUUGGCUGUGCUGGCUGUGCAGGCUGGAGGGGCAGUCACACUGAGACAAGGAGCAGCAGGCUUCCUUUCCCCAUGCAACUGAAUCCAGCGAUGCUGAUUCCCAGCCAUGUAAGCCAGAGGUCUCAGUGGGUCUGGUGUUCAACUGUCCACCUGUGCUACAAGACGGCAGCAAUAGACAUGGGAUGGGCUUAAAGGAUCCAGCAGAUGAUGAGCAUGGCUUCUGGGGUGCGGAAGGAAGGAGCACCUGGAGCCUCAGCUUCUGAAGAGAGGCAAGCAAGAAACACGGCCACCCAAAGAGAGAAGGAAGCAUCGGUGUGCAGGUUGUCCCACCUGAGUGAUUGCAAACACAGGAGCAUCACACACUGAUCAACUUUGGAGUCCUUUAUUGCCCGAGAUCAUGCCCCAAAGAACUCUUGACCCCAAAGCUCAAAGAAACAGGGUUUAUAAAGGCAAAAACCACAAGGUUGGGGGAGGGGGAAUGCAUGGUUACUAGGGUCAAGCUGACCUAAGGCCUUUGGGAAGUAUCAAUUACAACCUUGACAACAGACAAAUUACAA